CAAUCUAAAAGUAAGUCUCUAUGAUCAUAAUCUGAAACAUGGGAGUGUUGUCUUCCUUUUCCCACACAAUUGUCAACAAAAUCAUCAGGGUGCAUGAGCGUUGCCAAACCUCUAUAGCUUUAGGACCAACAAUAAUGAACAUAGGGGCAGCUAUAGCACUAGGCAAACUAGAUAGUGACCUAGGGUUCCAAAUUUUAGAAAGGCCCCAGUAUUUAACUGUUUUAAUUAAUACAUUGAUGAAUAGUUAAUUUUUUUAGGAUUUCAAAGAUUUUAUUUAAGUUUGUAUAUAAAAAAAGUCUAAUUUUUAGAUAUCUUCCUAUUAUUACUUCCAUUCAUUAUUAUUCAAAAUUAAGAUUUUUUUUCUUAAUAAAAACUUUAAAUUUGAUAAUAUUCACCUUAAAAUAAGAUUUAGUUAUUUUUUAUAAAAAUGUCAGAUAUAAUAAUCCUCAUUACUUCAUAUAGGGUAGAAUUAAUAGUUUUCCCACUUAAUUCUUUCUUUUUGUUAAUCUUUGCAAGAAAAAAAAAAAUACUUUCACUUUCCAAAAACGAAUACACUAUUAAAAUUAUUAACAUUAGAAUUGACUUUUAGUAUUCCCUUAAACUCUAAUAAUAACCUCAUAACCAAUAGACAUUAAAUCAAUAGUAAUCUCAACUAAAAUUUUUCUUACUCUAUUCACCACAAAGAAAAUUAUUCUCUACAAAAUCUAUUACCAUCAUGUGAUUAUUAUAUUCUUCACAGUUAGUCAACUUUUCAGGUGUUAUCGUUCUAUUAUUUAUUUCAAUUAUAAUUGUUAUUAAUUUUUGCAAAUUUAAUUUUUUUUUAUUUUUUAUAUUGACAUAUGGCUUGACAUUUGAAUCUUCAGCUAAGUUAGAAUAAAAGGAAAAAAAAUCUUAAAAUUUGAUUAUUUACAAAAAUUGUUAAUCCAAGUUAUUUAGCUUGGUGUUUUUGUUGUUUAAAUAGUAAAAGAUAUAUUAUCAUUUUACAACCUAAUUUUUUUGAUGUAUCACUUUGCCACUAGAGCUUUUUGAUAAUUAUUUUUUCUCACUUAAUAUUUCAAUUUUUAUCAUUUUACCACUAAGCCAUUAAAGUUAAUAGAACAUUAAUAGAAAAUGUAAUCAAAGUCUAUUUUACCCCUAAAUUGUAUAAGUAUAAUUAAAGAAAUACAAUAUUAAUUAUACAAAAAAAUAAUACUUUUAUCAAUUGAUUAUUUUAUAUAUCUAAAAUAAUUAAUUUAUACAAUUGUAAAUAUUAUACCUUGUGAAAUUCCUAAAAUAUUGAAUAUAUUAAAAUUCCUAAAAUAUCCCUGUAACAUCACAAAUGCAGUUAACGGUUUCAUAGUAAAAUGAUAAAAACUAAAAAAUUAAGUAGGAAAAAAUAAUUGUCAGAAAAUUGUGGCGGUAACGAAAUAUAUUAGAAAACAUUAAGUUGUAAAAUGAUAAUAUGCCAUAAUAAAAUUUAUUAAUAAUAAAAAAUUCUUCUAGUUUUGCAAUUUCUAUAGAAUGAUUUUGGAAAAUCAAGAAAUGUUUGGGGUGGGAGGGGGAGAGAGAGAUAAAUUGUAUUAUAGAUAACAAUAAUUUGAACAAUAUAGAACGAAGAUAAACUGUGUUACGGAUAAUGAUAACUUGAACAAUAUGGAAGGAAGAUAAAUUGUGUUACGGAUAACAACAACUUGAACAAUAUGGAAGAAAGAUAAACUGUGUUACGGAUAACGACAACUUGAACAAUAUAAAAGGAAGAUAAAAUGUGUUACGGAUAACGACAACUUGAGCAAUAUACAACUUGAGCAAUAGAAGGAAGAUAAAUUGUGUUACGGAUAACGACAACUUGAGCAAUAUAGAAGGAAGAUAAACUGUGUUACAGAUAACGACAACUUGCACAAUAUACAAGGAAGCUAAACAACUUGAACAAUAUACAAGGAAGAUGGACAAUAUAGAAGGAAGAUAAAUUGUGAUACAGAUAACGACAACUUGAACAAUAUAGAAGGAAGAUGAACAAUAUAGAAGGAAGAUGAAUUGUGUUACAGAUAACGACAACUUGAAUAAUAGAGAAGGAAGAUAAAUUGUAUUACAGAUAACGACAACUUGAACAAUAUAAAAGGAAGAUAAAUUGUGUUACAGAUAACGACAACUUGAACAAUAUAGAAGGAAGAUAAACUGUGUUACAGAUAACGACAACGUGAACAAUAUAGAAGGAAGAUAAACUAUAUUACAGAUAACGACAACUUGAACAAUAUAGAAGGAAGAUAAACUGUGUUACAGAUAACGUUCAACUUGAACAAUAUAGAAGGAAGAUAAACUGUGUUAUAGAUAACGAUAACUUGAACAAUAUAGAAGGAAAUCAAAAGAGGUAAGUUAAUUCGAACAAACCUGUCAUCACCAGGGACGGAUCUAGAAAUUUAGUUCAUUGAGGGCAAAAUUAAAAUGAAUUAAUAUUUUUAAAAAACGACCCAGUAUCAAAAUUUCUUUAUAAAUUUAUCCCUACUAAAAUAAAAUUUGUAAAAAAUUAAUUUCAAAAUAAAGGAAUACUUUUUGUUAAGCGGGAUUAAUUGCCUACACUAGCUUGUAUGUGAAUCCGCUCUUGCUCAUAACCUUCAUUAUUGAGUAAACAUUAGGCUUUAAGUAUAACUUAACGUAUGAUAAUCUAAAAAAUAGCAAACACUAAGCUCUUAGCUUCUGACAAUCCAAAAAAUAGAAAAGAUUAAGCAUGUUUCAUAACUUACACUGUGACUCUAUAAAGUAAGAUGCCACUACUUUUGGCUAAUUAAACGAAAACUACAAUGCCCAAUUAAUGAAUAAAUAAAUAAUAAAUUAUUAUAAGAUAUUAUAUCAAAUUGUUUACAAAUUAACACAAUUACUUUUUUUUAUAAAGGGUAAAAGAAACAUUCUUCAACAAGAAUAGGAAAAUUCAAAAUUGAUAAUAAAUGUAUGAUCAUUUCAUUUGAAUAUAAAAUGAUAAAUCUAUUUAAGUGGUCUUGAUUUUUAAUCAUCAGUAUCGGGUUGUUUAUUGAAUUAAAUUUGUCAAUUGAUUAAUAAUUUGAUUAAAAAGAUUUAAAUUUUGUUAUUAAUUAAGUUUGUUAUUAAAUACAAUUGAAAUAAUUAUUAAAUACUUUAUAGUUAUAACAGAAAAGAGUAACACAUUUCAAAUAUUAUAUCUUAAAUAAUGUGACAUGUGAUAUGUCAUUCAUAAAAAAAUCAAUAAUUUUUUAUAAUUUUCAAAUGAAUUAAUUACAUUACAAUAGUUGCCAAACAAUAAUAAAAAACGGCCUAACUCAAUUUUUUAACUUCAAUCCAAAUUCCAAACUAAAGCAUCUUCGACAAUCAUAAAACGAAUUUAGAAAAAAUAAAUUAAUAAAAAUAUAGAAAUAACUGAAAACCAUUAUCUUCUGCCUGAAUAGUACAUAUUUAUGGAGAGUUACAUAUCACGAGGGAAAAGUAUAAAAGGUCCAAACUACCCUUAUAGAGAAUAUCAAGCACAAUUCCAACAAAGCCCUCCCUUUCUUCACCAACGUCAUGUCGUCAUAAAAUCAUCUCUCCAAGUCACUCAAAACCACUCUUUUUUUUUUUUUCUUGGCUUCUUCCAAAAAAAAAAAAAAUUAAGUCAACACAUUAAAAUAUAUAAAGCAGUCAUUAUAUUUAUAUUGAAAUUCGUUCAAAUAAUAUAUAAGCUUGACCAAUGGCUCAUUCGAGAUUAAUUUUAAGAGACUGAAAAAUGAUUUUCAAAAGUUAAAAAAUAAUUUUAGGAUUUGGCAAAAUUUUCAUAGAAAUCGCUUUUGGUAAAAUCAUCUUAUUCUAUAGGAGAUUUUGAAAAAUGAAAAAGGAUUUACUUUUUAAAAUUUGAUUUUGAGAAUCACUUUUAUAUUUAAUAUAAUUUCAUAUAUAUAUAUAUUAGAAAAAAUUAAGAUAACAAAAUAAAUUUAAAAAUAUAAAAUAUUUAUUUUAGUUUUAAUUAUUAUAUGUACCAAUAAAAAAUAUUUCAUAUACAUGCUAAUAAAUAUUUAUAUGUUUUAUUUAAUAUUAUAUCGAAUUCAGUCAUUUAUAUUCUUGUAGUAAUUUAAUAGCAAGAUCUAUCAAAUACAUAUAACUGCUUUAAAACUCACGCAACUUUAAAAUUUUUUUUAUUAAAUAUUUAAUUGAUUCUAUUCACAACUGAUAAUUUCUACAACACCGCUAGUUACAAUUAUUUUAAAAAAUACAAUAUUAUCAUAUUAGCACCGAAUAUAUUUCAAGUAAUUUUUUUAUUAGCCACGCUUAUUUAAAUCUUAAUAGAGAUAUAAAGUUAAAAAGAAAUAUCAAUUUUGAGUUUUGUUCACCAUUUAUCUUUGAAGAAAGAAUAAUUAUACCAAAAAAUUAGAAAAAAUUCAUCAUUAAUUUUCGUUAAAAACAUUUCUACGAAAAUACACGAACAUAAUGCACAAUCAAGUAUAACCCUCAUUGGUUAUUAUCGGACUCUGAAUCAUGUAAAUACAAAACGCUUAGAUAAUCGAGAAUGAUACUUAUCACUCGACUUUGCUAGUGGACUACGAGGUGUAAAUUUGGAAUCAAGUAUUUCAAAAGGAGGGUACUCUAGUAAUUGACUAUUAAAUUAGGCAUACGAAAAUACAUUUAACUAUGGCGGCAUAUAUCUGAAAUUCAUCGUCAUCUCCAACCAAUAAUUCAUCUAACACCACAGCAUAACACACACGAAGGUCAAAGACAGACAAUAACAAAGGAAGGCAAAAAUGAGAAACUGAAAAAAGAAUUCAAUAUAAAGCGUUUACGAUGAUGACGAGAACUCGUAGUUAUUAUUAAUUUGUUAUUAAUAAUUAAAAGAUUCACAAAAAGAAGAAGUGAAAUUUGGCCGAUCGCUUACAGAGAGAUGGAUCCAGAGCACACGUUUAUACGAGUGCAAGAGCGGUUUUCGCGAGUGCUGACGCCGAGAGUUAGGGCCUAUUUGGAGUACAUUUAUCUUUUCAUCGCUAUCACUUUGUUCUGUGUUCUUGUUGUUAUGCACGCUAAUUAUGUUCAACAGGUAAUUAAUUUUUUUAAUUAAUUAAUUUCUUCGAUUUUCUUUUCUUUCAUUUUUUUUAAAGUUGUAUAAAUUAGUUAGAAUUUUUUUUUUUUUUUUGUAAUUGACUGUGUGAACUGUAGUAGAUAUAGUUUUUGUAGCUUUCUUAACCAGUGGAAGUGAUUUUUGGGGAAGAAUAUUAUCAGUGCUUCUCCUACCAAGCGCUUUUGGAAGAAGCACCCUUACGUUAAGUAAAAUUGCAUUAAGAUUUUUGUUUUUCAGGUAGAAUUGCUAUUUAUAGUUGAUUUUGCUUAGAAUUUAAGAAUUAGAGUACUGGAACAUUGUCUUUAAUUAUCUGCCAUUGAUGGUAUCGUGCUGCUGUUCAAGUUUUUGAUAAGCCAAUAUUCAGCUCUAAUAGAGGGGGGGGGGGGGGAGGGGGAAGACAGUAGUCAGAGCUUUGUUAACUAUGCCGUUGAAACUGCUCUGAGUUUUGAACAGUGUAAUGUGUAUGGUAAUUUUUGGAUUAAAGUGCUUGUUAAGUGUAUAAUGUCUGUAUCAACAUAUGCUAUAGGAAAAAAAAUUGCUGAAGUUGUAAAUUUAUUUAUUUAUUAACAUUUUCAUCACUCAAUUUCAUGCAAGUAAUGGAAUAGAUUAUGAAAUAAGCACUAUGAAAACAUUUUGACAAAGCAUUUUUUGGUACAGAUUAUAAAAUAAGCUACUCUUAAUUAUCGCAAAAAGUAAUCCCUAAUGAGCCCUUUGGUUAGUAAUAUAAAAAGCAACUUAUCAUUUUUUAAUUCCAUAAUCACUUACACAUUAUACCUUCUUUGUAAAUAUGAAUUUAAAUUUGCAGAUUCAGCUUGCUUUACGUUUCUUUGCAAUACCAUUUCUGUUAAUAGGCAACAUGCUUCUUUGAUUUAUUCUCGUCUGUCUCUCAGUAUGUGUGUUUUAUUUUAGUUUAUAUAUUUUUUCCAGAAAUCGUAUGCACCUUUUGACUUAAAUUUGAAUAUUUUGCUUAUAAAGCCUGGCUGUUCAAGUGAAUUUGCUGGAAUUCGGAUGACUGAAGCCCAACUCAUACAAAUUAAGGUAUAUGAACUUUCGUUUUAAAAUUUCAGUCUACUUUUCUGACGUGGAAUUUUCUACGUUAUUUCAUGUAUCAAGUUUGUGCUAUCAUGAGAAAUCUUAAAAUUUUGGGUGGAUGUCACAACUGAUCACAAAAAGUUGAACUCGGAGCCUGCGUUGUCUUAGGAUUGAGUUAUCCCCUUCUUCUGCAUCUGCUUGUGCAGCUACCAGAACAUAACGUUUGUAUUACAGCUAGAGGAGCGUUCUUCUUGGCCAUUUGUGUCUAGUCUGUUUUAAAAUCUGAUGAUGUUGUAUUAGUUAUUUCUCAAGAAUAACUGUUCUUUUUAUUAUUUGCUAAGAUGUUAUAUAGCAAUAUAACACAGAAAAAUUGUUGAGAAGUAAAUGCAAAGUUUUUUCAAACUUGAUUUGAUGUUUGAGAAUAUAUGCAUUAUCAACUCAUAGGCUUCAGAUAAGAGGCAUGACACAUUUUGAAGGUUGUAUCUUGGCAGUGGCUUGGCCAUGCUAAAAUAGCCAUGCUAAAAUAUAAAAGCUCUGUUUGACACCUGGUGAAGUCCAACUUCGCACUAGUGCAGCUGCGAUCCUGGCCGAACUUGAAUGCCUGUACCUGUCCCAUGUCUAUUCAAAAUUAUAUAUUUCUGUUUCCUUUUUAAUUCAGGCAUCUAUUUUAGGUUUUAGGUUUUAGUUUAAAGGUAAUUUGAGAUAGUCAUUUAAGUUGGCCGAUCUUUCAUGUCUAAGAAACUGACCUUUUUUCCUUUUACUUUUCUUGUUUGAUUUAGAUCAGUAGUGCAGGUUUGUGGUCACAGCAUGACUCUGAUUCUAAUGUUGUAGAUGUCACUAGUGUGGAUAAUUCAAUCAAUGAGUUAGAAGUUUCAGGUAUGGAUGCUGAUGGAUUAACAUUCUCGGCUGCAAACCUUUGGUUAAAUUGGAUUCGUUCCAAUGUUAGGAAAGGCAAAUUGGCUUUGAAGUUCUGGAGGACUGAUAUGGAACCUGUUGAACACCUAGCAGAGGGCUCUGUAAGUAGUCAAAGCUUUAAGCCAACUGAUAGUGCAGUGAAUAAAAUUGAUAAGGAGGAGGCACGUAAUAGUUUUGCUUUAUCAGCCAAGGAGGCUUUUAAAUCAGCAAUCAUUCAUUUUGGGAAAAAGUGGUAUAGGCGUUUAUCUUUUGUUUGGAGACAGGCAAUGCAAAUCUUACGAAAUUUCCAGAAGCUGUGGGUGAGUAAAUUUGAAAAUUUCCUUCUUAAUUGUUAAUGUUUUUUUUUUUGGUUGGGCGGGGAGGGGGGAGGGGGGCUAAAGUUUCUCAAUUGCCUCCUAUCCUAGUUUUACAAUUCUUGAUGAAAGAGGGAGUAGACUGUUUUCAGAUUAUGCUAGUUGCAAAUAUUGGCCACGGUCUAUUAUUUACUGUUGUAUCUCUAUUGCUGCGAAUAAGGAGAAAAAUAGGAGCUUUUUGAUCUCUAUUGUUGACUCUAGGAAACAGAUCUUCACUUUGAGUCUCCCUUUUUUCUAUAAGCAAAUUCAUUAAAAUACUGGCACGUUUUAUGCCUUGACAACAUACAUGCAAAUGCGUGCAAUAUCAAUUGUAUUUCUGGCCAAAUGUUCCCCUCUUUUCAUAAAAAAAAAACAAUUUUUUGAAAGCUGUAUAUUCUGAUUUCUGAUUUCUGAUUUCUUUCUCCGUUUUUUCUUUUUAUUAAUUAAUAUUGUUUUCUUUUUUUCUAAAUAUCACUUACUAAAUUUUCUUCUCUCAUUCUUUUGAGAGUAUAAGCCGGUGCUGCUUUUGGAUAUUCAUGUCAAUAUGACUCUUUACAACCUAUCUCUUCCUCUCCCUUAAGCUAAAUUUUCUCUUAUUUUCUCAAGCUGCAUUAAAAUUAAUCAAAAUAAAAAGUGCAUGUUUGCUUUAUUCAUUCCUAAUUCUGUUAUCAUUUUAAAUUCUUUAUGCUGAAUUUGAACUUCCUAGUGCAGAAUAUUGCGGGGAUACAUUUAAAUCUUGAUGUGCCGAAAUUGAUGCAUGUACUUUACCUGGACAGGAUUCACUCUUAUGCUGGUAACUGUCUUUCCCCUUACUGUUUAUCAUGAUGUUGCAAUAAUAUUUCCAAAAUUCAUAUGGCCUCUGGCAUAAAUGUUCCGAUAUUUAUUAUUAUUUAUGUAAUCUGGAUCUGUGGUGAAGAAAUAUGUAUGUAAUAUUGCAUGUAUGUAACUGUAAAAUGAUUGAAGCAAUCGGUAAAAUAAUUAUAUAUAUUAAAUUAGAGUCACUGAAAUUAGAAUAUCAUCACAUACUAUACUUCUGAAUUAUGCAGAAUGAGACAUUUAUUUAAAUUUGUAAAUGCUUAUUUUUGAGUUCUGGUAAUGAUUGUCAAUAUAUGUAAUAAACUCUGUAUUUAAAUUUGUAAAUGCUUAUCUUUUAGGUCUGGUGAGGGAAAUUUCCGUGCAAAGCAUCUAGGCUGAACUUAGUAUCUAGAGUUUGUUUGAAGUUUUGUCUAUCUCUCGUUUGAGGACAUAUGAGAUUUGGGUGCCAACAAUAAAUGCUAGUUCUUAAGUUUUCUGAUCUGAAGUGCAAUGUAACACCCCCUAGACAAGUUAUAAAUCAUAUAUGAUUUAAGAUUAUGGAAUGGAUCUAAGAGACAUGGGAUUUUGGGCCUCAUUAAUCAUAUCAAUUUAUGAUCACGUGCAAUGGUGAUAAAGUUAGUUACAGUUUCAUCCUUUCGUGUUUUAUUUUUGUUGGCUCUAAUUGAAACUGUGCUGUCUACUUGCAGUGCAGUGGCUUGAGAAUAGAACCAAAGCAUUUGAACCUACUUAUUUGUACACCAUGGAAAAGGUAUCUUUUUUGUUUGUUAGACUGAUAUAUCUUCUUUCUGUUGUUUAAAACUUUGCUGCGUCCUCUCCGAUGGUUGAUCAGUUGGUAUGAUCUUUGGUUUCUAGCCAAGUGGUCGGUGACUCCAAUCUGUUGAAGCUACCUUUCUAAAUGUUACACCAUGAAUUUGCUGACUAUAGAGAUUUUGGAGUCUGAUAGUAGUCCCUAUUUCCAGACCUGGUGCACAGGUGGAGAGAUUUCCUGUGCAUUGAAAAUAUUUAAAACAAAAAAAGGAAAAAUUUUGUUGUAUUUAAAGUACUUUAAUUAGUUGAAAAAAAAUUAAUCAAGAUUCUGCCUAGGUGUUGAAGCUUGUAAUCUUUUUUCUUCUUUUUUUUUAAUUUUUUAAGUCUGUUGUGUAGGGGUAUUUCUUGUUACCAGAAGCAGAUAAAUCUCGGCAUAAUAUACGUACUUUCAAUAUCAGCAUAUCAGCUCAGCAUCCUUGCUUUGGGAACAGGUUAUAUAUCCUAUGCUUUGGCUUGUCUGCAAAUGGACAUAUGUUGUUCCGGCUCCUUUAUUUAAUAUUUAAAUGGGUGCCACUCUUGAGAUAUCAAUGAUUAGAGAGUUAAGUAUCUGUUAUUUAUUUUGUAGGGCAAGGAAUACCAGUUCUCAGUUUCAUAAACUUCUGGUGCAUGGAUGUUUGUUUAUUAUGUUUGUUUGAUGAAGUCUUUAAAUUUUUGUGCAGAAUAUGUAGGCAGUAUCAUGCUGUAGUCCGCCACAGAUAAAGUUAGGCUCAGUAAUCACUAGUAAUUUUUUAUCAAGGAAUUACAUCAUAUUAGAUUGUAUUUGGAUGAUAUGGAAGAGCUUGCAGUUGAUUACUUAAAGUUUGAAUUGAUGGGUAAUAGUGGCAUAUGAUUCAAUGGCUUGUUAGGUUUAGUCAGUGAAUUUUCACGGCUGUGCUUUAUUUUAAAGCCAAUUUGUGGUGCUUUGCUGUCAUAGUUUUAAGUUUACUUACGCCAUUAAAUACGUGUCUUGUUGAAAAUGUUUGUACCAUGAACUGUUUGUGGAUCUGAAUUUCUGUGAAAAUUCUGUUGAAGUUCCAACGUGAAAAUGCUUGCAAGAGUUAACAAUUUGUGAGGCAAUUAUAUGCUUGAAUGCUUUGGAUGUGAAUUUUAUAUGCAGCACAAUAUUUUUUAAGUAAUGUCUUCUAUUUAUAGGUGGCAGCAACUUCUCAUAAACAGAUUUGUUGGAUACGAUACAAUUUUGAUGAAUAGUUUACUGCAUACUCCCGGUCAAGGUAAUAGAUAAUUCUCUUGAUGCACUGCAUAUAUAAGAAUUUUUGAGUAAUCUAAUGAUGUCAAUCAACCAUCCCACAGAAGGUAAACAACUUUUGUUCUGAUAGUCUUGCUAUCUUGAACGGAUUGUACUCUGUUGAAAAUUUGAAAUAAUUUGAGAGCUUGUUCAACGUUCCUCACUUUCCAAUUAGAGUUUCUUUAAUAGAUACAACCGGCUAAUCCAUCCUUCAUAAUUUAAACUUUCUGAUGCGUAAAUAUGGUUUCAAUAUCACUGAUAUUCCUCUUUCACAGAGCGAGAGAUCUGUUUUCAAUCUCGCAUUAGUUUCUUCAUUUAAAUAACCUGUAGAGAUACUGCUUUCUUCUAACUCAGGCAUGCUUGUCAAACUCGGGAUCCUUUGUUAUAGCAGAUGCUAAUAAUGCUGCCUUUCUCGAUACUGUGUUUCUCUAACUGUAGCUAAAAAUAUAUUUUUGGAGACAUAAUUGAAGAGUGUUUAACAGCUUCUCUACAAACCAUGUAAAAGACCGAAUCAAGUUAGAGGAAAUAACUCCUCAGACAGCUCUUCUUUGUAACCUUAAUGAGACUGCUUUCUUCUUCAUCCAUUUUUUCAGUCCCAAGGUCCUUAAUUAGAUGUUUCCCAUAAUAAUUGCUGAAGUUAGAAAAUAUACAAGUCAUCAGCUUGAAAAUAAUGAUGUUAGUGCUAUAAAGCAUUCAUGGAGUCAAUAACAGACUCUCUGCAUGGUGUUGGUCCACAUCUCUACUUUGUCUAAUUAUUAUUUCAAAUCUGGUUGCAGGGUAUCUUUAUAAUUGUCAAACAAAGGAGUUUUACAAUCUUAGCUAUGCACAGGAACCACCAGAAGGCCCUGCAAAGUUUGGAGGUGUGUUGAUUUCUGUUAUAUUUCUUCUUUCAUGGGUGCUUUUCUUGUUAUGAACUAGCUUUAUUAUUGCAUUUUAUUUUGCACUGUUUUGGCUGGCAGAUUUGGGAUCAACAUGCUUCCAUGUUAGUCAUUGUUGUUGGAAUGUGCACUUACCUGAGUCCCUGACAAUGACAUAGUGUCACAAUGUUGUUUGCGAGAGUCAGUAUUUCCCAUUCUAAUAGGGAGUUGUCAAUAUUUCAAAAUGUUAAGCACAUACUCAAUAUGAGGAUCAAGAUAAGUGGAGGAGAAAACUAAAUAACAGGCAUAUUUAUUUACUUAUUAUGGUGCUUGUUUGCCCUAGCACAUGGAAAUCAUAACUUUUCAUGAGGGUAACAACAUUGGAAUUAGUAGCCAUAGAACUCCAAAAUGGCUUAUGUAUCAUCAGCCAAUUAAUCCACAAACUAGAUUCUGAGUACCAUUGGGUCUUAUGUCUGUCUACUUUCUAUAAAACAACCAACCCCAACCAAAUCCUUCCUCGCUGGCAAAAAAGAAUUUUUUUUUUUUUUGGGGGGAAGAAAAGUAAAGUAAGAGCCUUUUGUCAUAGCAUUACGAACACAAGAGAAUCUGCUUGUAAUAAGCAGCUGUUAUCAGGACAGAAAAAGAAAGAUCAUGUGCACUUGUGAUGAUCUCUUGUGUUUUCAUAUCUUGGAAUCUUAUGAUCACCAAUUUCUCACUGCUUGUUGCAUCACCAAGCACUGCUUUGGUCCCUUUUUGUUUUUUGGUUAUGAAUACAUCUUAGUAAUUUUUAACAUAGCACGGGGUAUCUUUUUGAUCGUUUAUCUAAAGUCUGUGGACAUAAACUGUGAUCUGAUGAUUUACACUUUUCGUCCUCCCUUUUCUUUAAUUGCAGACUAUCUGGUGACCAAGUGUGGUGUGCUUAUGAUGUCACUGUUUGUAUUUUUCACAACCACAAUGUCAGUAUCAUUUACGCUGAGAGAGACACAGGCUCGCAUGUUGAAGUUCACAGGUAUGUUAUUUGAUUUUCCUAACUAGGGUGUGAAGUGGUGUUAGCACCAGUGUAUGCAUGCACCUGGUUCAUUGUUCUUUCCUUUGGUAGUUAAUUAGAGCUAGUUAUUUGCUUUGUCACCUCAAAUUCUUCUGUUGCCAGACACUUUCUAUAGUUGGUUAGGAUCUUUUGUCAUGAGUCCUGUAUUUUCUUGCUACAAAUAUGGUAUGAUUGGGGGUCUCUUAUUUUUCAUAUUAUUGCAGUGCAGCUACAACACCAUGCUCAGCAUCGGCUUCCAACAUUUCAAUUGAUCUUUGUGCAUGUAAUUGAAUCACUUGUCUUUGUACCGGUAGGCAUUCAUCAUAUCUUUGUAAUUUGCUAUUGAUGUGAAACUUAUGCUGCAAUAAAUUAUGUUUUAAAAUAUUUUUAUUAUUUUACUCCAUUUAUUUAGAUUUUAUUUUUUCUAUUUAUGUGCAUUUCGGGUCUUACUGAUGACCAGUAUGGUGGAUUUUGCAGAUAAUGAUUGGCAUUCUUUUCUUCCUGUUUGAGUUUUAUGAUGACCAGCUGUUGGCUUUCCUGGUUUUAAUUCUUGUCUGGUUGUGCGAGCUAUUUACACUGAUCAGGUAUAUCUUUCUUUCUUUGUUGAAAUGCAUUGUAAGAGAGUGCACUUGCUCUUGAUUGGUGUCUUUUUUAUUGACUAAUGAAUAGCUAUCUUUUAGGAUAAGGUUCUUUUGCCUGUAUGUGGUCUUGCACACUGGUGCUCUGAUUAAUUGCUCUGAUGUAUGUUGAGCUGGUUUCUAGGACCAGUGAAUGCCAUAGACAUAUCUCCCUGUUAGCCAGCUCUUUGGUUUAUCUAACUAGUGAUAAGAAACUAUAAUCUUAAUUAUUGUUUCUUUCUAAUAUGAUUCUUCUUAUUUCUAAGUUGCAGUGUCCGCACACCAAUAUCGAUGAAGUUCUUCCCUCGCUUCUUUUUGCUCUAUUUUCUGGUUUUUCACAUAUAUUUUUUCUCUUAUGCUUAUGGUAUGGCCCUGCACUUUUUUGACUCAUCUCAUUUAUGGCUGGAACUCUUACUUGUGUCUUAUGAUUUUAACUUAUAAUUUUUCCAGGAUUUUCGUAUAUGGCACUUGGUACGGCUGCUGCGUUUGUGCAGCACCUCAUUCUGUACUUCUGGAACCACUUUGAGGUAAUUAGUCCCUAUUAGGAUUAUCUUGUUGCGAUAUUUAGUCCUUUGAUUUGCUUGUAACUGCUUAUUGAUUGUUCAUCUCUUAGCUGAUAAUGGUUGUGCAUCAUGAAUGCAUCAAUAGCGCACUGUUCCUCAUAUCUUCUUAUCGUUGGUGUAGAUUUCACCAUCUAUUUUACUCUUUAACAGAAUGUUUCAAAACUUGAGUUUGAUUUUGUAUGCACGUUUGCUAAUGUCAUCUCAGGUACCAGCUCUACAAAGAUUCAUCCAAAAUAGGCGUACUCAGCUUCAGCAACAGCCAGACUUCCACAUUACCUCAUCUACCAUUCUCGCGUCAACAUUGCAUAUAACAAGAUUGAACACAAGGAACCCAAGUCUGCCUAAUACUGAUGCAACUUCUGGACCUGGCUUGAGACCUGGAUCCAACCAAGCAAUGCCGCCAACAAAUAGAGUGGAUGCUCCUGGACCAGAACGUUCCGAAAACAACAAUCCAGACAGGGUUGGCAACACUAUGGAGAUUCCAGGACAACCAGACCUUCAGCAACCUGAAACGGGUCCUAACCCGGGGAGCAUGAAUUCGUUUAGUUCACUGCUGUUGUGGAUCUUAGGAGGGGCUUCUUCAGAAGGCCUCAACUCAUUUCUUUCCAUGUUCAGAGAUGUUAGAGAGCAAGGGCAAGUUUUUGCCGAUUCACAAAGACAGGAAAAUGGCGGGAAUCAGCAUGUGCAGUAGUGGUGGGAGGGAUAAUUACAUUUGAAGGUGACUUUGUUUACAGCUAUGUUUCUGUAUCUAGUGUAAAAUUCUAUAUUAACGUUUUGUACAGAAAUAACAUGUAAUUAUAUAUAUAUAUUAAAUGUGAACCCCCUUUUCAUUAGCUAAAAAUGAAGCAUUCGUAUUUUGUGUUUAUUUUACCAUUGGUACCAGAAGACUCAUUCCUUGCAUGAGGAAAUUGAUUCAAGGUUUCACGGGGAUUCUUCUUAUAAUGUGCUUAUCAAUUGAUAAUCGAAAUUAGUUGGAAUCAGAACAGGAAAUAAAAAUUAUAAUAAAUUGUUUACUUUAACCUUAAAAAUCGGAAUUGAAAUGAAUUGUAUAGCUAUUGAUGUGUUUAUUUUAUCUUAGAAUUAAAAAAGAUUUUUACAAAUUAGUAACAUAAUUUUAGACGAUGAAUUUUAUUAUUUAUUAUAAUAAUUGUGAUUAUAAUUAUUACCAUUAUUUUUAUUCAAAAUAAUCAUAAUAAUAACAAUAAGUUUACAUUCUUUAAUUUAAAAAAUAUAUGGUUUUACAUAUUUUCUUCUCAUUUCCACAUUUCCUUUUAAUAAAUAAACAUCAUUAAUGAUUCUCAUUCAGGAUUCUAAUUUUUUAAUUCCACAAACAAGCACCCUCCAAGCUACCAAAUUUCAUUGAGUUGGAUGAAUUCUCGCUCGCAGUAGGCAUGCAUGCAAAAAGAAGUUCCUUGUGAACUAUGGUCUUAGGCCGUGUUUGGUUUACAGGUUGUCUUGCCACCUACUUACAUUUACAUUUGAUAUUAUAAUUUCAUUCCAUUUAUCAAUCUUAGCCCCUGCAUUUUUUUCCCUUCAAAAACCUUUUUAUUUUAACAAGGACAUACCGUGCAGAUUUAUUGAACAAGUAAUUCCAUCAACUAAUUCUUAGGUUCAAUUAAAUUUUUGAGGUAUACAGUAAAAAUGCAUGUAUCACUGUAUGUUCCAAAAAAAAUCAACAAAGCUCAAAACUACAAUUGAUAAUGAAAAAACGCACCCUGAAAAGGACUUAUAUAUUAAACUACAUUUAUAUUUAAUAAACGUAAAAAUAGGGAGCUUAAAUAAUAAUAUCCCUUAAUGUUUUUAAUUUUUACUGUCUAAUGGUAUAAUACAAUCUAUGAUUCACUAAAAUAUAUAAUUAUGAUACAUUCUAGAAUUUAAAAAAGAUUAGCUUCAAAAUAUAUUUUCACUAACAUGUGAGGAAAUGCACCUAUUUUAUAUUUUGUGGAAAGAGAAAGUUACAUUUUAUGGAAAUGAAAAAGAGCCCUACAAGCACGAGGACAACGGGGAUGUCAAAAAUAUUUGCCUGGUUCGGAUCUUAGUGAUGCGGGUUGAGUGGCUGGGUUGGACUUGAGCUUCACUUGAUAAGUUCAGUUCAAAACCCAAAUUUUUUUAUUAAAAAAAUUAUAUAUAUAUAUAAAUAAAAUUUAAAAUAAUUAUAUUUAUUUAGCUCAUUUAAUAUAUAUAUUUAAAAUUUUAAAAAUUGGAAAUUCAUAUUUUCAAGCACAAUUUCAUUGAAAUGAAAUUUAAAAAUUAUAAAUAAAUUUAUAUAUAUUAUAAAAUAUAAAAUCUUGAUUAAAAAGCCAGGAACAGACAAUAAAAAAAUAUGUCCAGACUCGAUAACAACUAUUUAUGGCAAUCAACACCGCCCGUAGUGGGUUUAUCAUUACCAAAUCCAAAUCUCCCACAAAAUUUAAUUACCAAACUUAUCCGUAACCCACUGCAAGUUUUUAUUUUUCUAAGAAAACCCACCCGCUGCGAGUUUUGACAAUUACUAAAUCUGCAAUUAUACCCAGUAGAUUUUUUGCGGGUUUUCAUAUUUAAAAUCAUAAAUAUUAAAUAUGUAAAUUUAUAAUAAUAAGCUAAAAUUCUACAUAACAUAUUCAACUCUAAAUUUAACCAAUGUAAAUUAAAAAUUAAAAUUUCAACAUCAAUCCAAUACAAAUUCUUAAAUUUAAGUACGAAAUACACAAGUUCAUAAGAAAAGCCACAAACUAAUAUCUAAAAAUAACAAUUAUCAUUUCAUAUUAUCAUUCAACACAAGCUUGAAAAGAAGAUUUUUGUUUCAUUCACCACCAUUAGCACCUCUCCAAGAUGAUUCCAAUAAUAAUAAUUAAGAUUAAUAUUUUCUAAAGAAUAAUACUUUUUAAAUGCUAAUCCGAAUAACAAAAUUAUAAUAAGGGAAAUUAUCAUUGCACCACCUUUGUUUUGCAUUAUGUUCAUCUAACUACCACAAAAUUCUAACAUGUUCUCUGCACCACAUUUCUUUUUAAAUUUACAUCAAUUAACCACUUUUACACUAACCCAUUAAAUAAUUUAAAUGAAAUGACAAUUUUAUCCCUAAAUAAAUUAAAAGACCAUUUUAUCUUAUAAUAACUUUAAAAAUAAAAAAAUAAAUUAUAACAAUACCCCUAAAUUUAAUAAAAAAAAUUCCAAAUAGAGGUGCUCGGUUGAUUUAUAUUAAAUUUAGAUUUUACAAAAUUUUAAUAAUUAUUUUAUUAAAAAAUUAUGAUUUUGUAAAAUUUUAUUAAAAUAAUUGAAUUUAUUUAUUAAAAAUAAAUCCAAAAUUUUUAAUAAUUUAGGAGAUUUUUAUUAAAUCCAAAAAUUUUGUAAUUAUUUUUAUAAUUAUAAUUUUUAUUAAAAUAAUUUUAUUAAAAAAUAAAAAUUCUAAUUUUAGGAUUUAUUUUUUAUUAAAUUUACGAGUAUUUUUAUAAUUAUAACUUUUUAUUUUCAAAGUUUUUAUAAAAUAAAAUAGUAUUUUUAUUUAUAUAGGGGUAAAAUUAUCAUUUUAUUUAAAUUAUUUAACGGUGUUAUUGCAAAAGUGACUAAUUGAUAUAAAUUUAAAAAGAAAGAUGAUGCAGAGAACAUGUUAAAAUUUUGUGGUGAUUGGAUGAAAAUAAGACAAAAAAGAGGUGGUGCAAUGAUAAUUUCCCUUAUAAUAAUAAUAGUUCAUACGUUAAGUUAAAGAAUAAUAGUCCAAAUAAAAUUAUAAGUAUAUAAUUACCCAUUCAUUAAGUUAAAGCUUAUUAGGACUUAGGUACAUUACAACCUACACACAUGUUUGCACUUUAUAUGAUUACUUUAUAUAUUUUUAGAUUUAAAUAAUUUUUAAUUAAAAAUAAAUUAAAAAUUUCUAAAAAAUUUGCGGGUUAGCAAAUACCUAUGCGAGUAUCCAAUGGAUAUUUGAUUAAUAUCAAAUUCACCCACAACUUAAUGCGCGUUUAAAUUUAUAAUAUCAAACACACUCGCAACUAGAGAUGGCAAUUUAACCCGGACCCGGCCCGGACCCGGACGAACCCGGAUAAUCCGGUACGGGUUGAACCCGUACCGGAUUAAAAAUAAAUCCGGAUCCGGAUGUGAUUUUGCCAACCCGGACGUUUCCGGGUCCGGUUCCGGGUUCGCAUAAACCCGCAUAUGCGGAACCCGGACCCGGAUGUCCUUAUUUUAAUAUUAUAUUUAAAUUAUUUUUUUUAAUAUAAAAAGGGAAAAAAGUCAGUAACCCUAGUUCACACUUUCACUUCACAGCCGCCAAUUCAUUCUUCUCCUAUCUCUUCACCUUUUCUCUUCUCUUCUCCUCUUCUCUUCAUCAAAUCAUCCUUUUCGUCUCUCUUCAGUUCUUCUCUUCAUCAAAUCGUCAUUGUCACUCGUCAUCACUUCACAUCGUUGUGUUCCCGCUCAUCAUCAUCAUCAGCCUCCGUUUGGCAGCCGUUUGUCCAUCGCGAUCUUGGUUUUGGCUGCCAUCCAUACGCCUUUUGCGAAUAACGCUCGCGGCUGUGACGCGUUCAUCAUCAUCAUAUCAUCAACAGCUGCUGUUCAUUGCUUUACUAGACACCGAUUGUUGAAGUUUGUGAACUAAAUCUGUGAAUCGCGGCUGUGAUGUGAAUUGUAGACAUGGAUUUGUAUUUUGUGAAUGUUAUAUCAUAGAUCUGUAUUUAUAAAUGGUUUAUUGCUUUGAAAUUUAAAAUCUGUAAAUUUAAAAUGGUUUAUUGCUUUGUAUUUGAUUUGGGUAGAAUCUGGUUUUGUAAAUUUGUGAAGUGAAUUUGAUUUUUUUUUUUAUUUGUAUGUGAUCCGGGUUGAAAACCCGCAAUCCGGAAACCCGGAUUAUUCCGGGUUUAACCCGUACCGGACCCGGUGUCAUAAAAUCCGGGUUUAAAUCCGGGUCCGGUACAACAUUUUAGUGUCCGGGUCCGGAACCGGGAAGGCCAAACCCGGACCCGGACCCGGACCCGGUUUUUGCCAUCCCUACUCGCAACUUAUAAAAUUAUCGGUAUCAGACAAAUUUUAGAGGACGAAUUUGGAUAAAUUUACGAAUUUAUGGGCAGCAUUACCAUCCCUAAUCAAAGCAUUCCCAUAUCCUGUCCCCGCUUGGGCUUUUGCCAUCCUUGGCAGAGCACCACAAUAAUAAUAUACUAAACCAAAAUUUUAUUUAAUACAGCAGAAAAAACGGGGGGCCAAAAUUUAAAAAAAAAAAAAAAUCCCUUGAUAAAAUUACACUAACACUGAACUGAAAAUUUAGCUGGGAGCGAAUAAUUGAGAGGGAGAGAGCGUUACAACAUUCAGAAAUGGCAGCUACCUCAUCAACAGCAACGACGCACUUGAUUGUCGGCUCUACCUCUCGUCUACAUACCACCAGAACGACCAAAUUCUUUCAAAACGGGGUCGUUUUGACUCAGAAAAAGACUCUCUCACUGAGAAGAAGAAGAAGUGCGAGUAUUCCUCCAACUGCCGUUUUACCUUUUGACCUCUCUCCUCCGCCAAUCGAUCACGACCUUCUUGUAAGAACUUCCAUUAAAAUAAGUUGAAUAAAUUAAAAACAAAAACAGGUUAAUUAAAAUAAUAAACAGCAAAAAAUUUUUUUUUUUUAUUAUUAAACUAUAUUUUGCAGGAAACUGUGAAGAGUGAAGGGGCGAAGAUUUCAGGAGAAGGAAUAGUUGAAACGUUUGGUAAUGAUGGUGAAGCGCUAGAUGCUGCUGAUAAUGGUGUUGCUGUGAGUAUUCUGUUUCCUUUUUAUGAGAAUUAAUUUAAUUUAACAAAACAUUGGAUGCACAUACUAUUAGUACUAAGUUUAAUAAUAUGAUAUUGAUGUGGCAAUAUCAUACUAUCACUCAUCAAAUUGUAUUAGAUUGUGUCGAUUUAUAUGCAUGUGAUUAUUAUUCAUGAGGUUUUGGUUUGUUUUGUUGCUUUGUGUUGUCUGGCUUAGGCUGUGGACCUUUCACAUUUUGGAAGGAUAAGAGGUACGCUCUGAUUGCUUACAUGAGUCUUUUGUGGAUCGUUGUUUUGUGCGAGUGAUGCUUUAAUGAUUGUUCUACUUUUGUAAACUGUUGGGGUUUGAUUAUCAUGAAGUGAGUGGAGAUGACCGUAUUCAGUUUCUUCACAACCAAAGCACUGCAAAUUUUGAAAUUCUUCGUGAAGGACAGGCAAGUUUUGAGAGGUUGUGGGUUUUUUGUCUGGUGCUGUUCUAAGAAGUUAGCGCAAACUUCUUCAGUUUUAUUUUUGUUUGAUGCAGUCAUUUGGGAUUAAUUGAUGGGAUUUGUUGGAUUGAUAUCCUUAGGGAUGUGACACUGUCUUUGUUACACCAACAGCGCGGACAAUAGAUAUUGCACAUGCUUGGAUAAUGGUAAUCUAUUUCUUCAUGUUUCUUCCUUCAUAGUUUGUUUAUAAGCAUGUAAUAAAUGCAAAUUAUCUUGUCAACUUGUUAAUCAUUUUUCCAUAUGCACAGAAAAAUGCUGUUAUACUGGUGGUCUCGCCCUUGACCUGUAGUAGCAUAACUGAAAUGCUAAACAAGUAUGUAUAUCUGUCUUGGAGAUUGUCUUAUUAACUUUAUGCUUGUAGAUAGUGUGUCUUAGUUUUCCAGCAUUGCCAUUGUUGUGUAGAAUGAUUUUAGUCUCACACUUGAACAAUUUUGAUCCUGUAUAAUUGCUCACCUCAGUGUACUUCAUUCCAGUUUACUUAUAGAACACAAACUUGGAGAGAAUGGGCUUAUGAACAAUCCUCAUCUUUCUUUUUUGCAUGACCUGUCUUGCUCUAGUGUAUAUGGACAUGGCCUAGACAGACUUAGCUUGAGCCAAUGCAAGCAAGAAUAAUUUGUUUGCCUGUCUUGUGUUUUGAAAUUUGUGCCGAGUCCUACACUUAUCCAAAGAAAAAAUAGAAAGCUCCCCUCCUUAUUAUGCAUUUUUUGCACUCUGUUCUAGGUAUGUAUUUUUCGCUGACAAGGUAGAAAUUCAAGAUAUCACUAAACAAACAUGCUUAUUCGUUGUAGUGGGACCUAAAAGCAACCAAGUAUGUCUAUUUCUUUUAAAUUGUUUACUCAUUUCUGGAGUUAUUAUUGAGCUUUUUGGAAGUUGAAUUUGAUAUUGUUGAUGAUUGUAUUAGUGACAUGCAAACAGGUCAUGCGCGAUUUGAAUCUUGGUGAUCUUGUUGGAGAGGCAUAUGGAACACAUCGGCAUUAUAGUGUAAGAUAGAUUUUUUUUCUCAGUCGAUCUUUGAAAUACAAGAGACUUAGAUUUUUUUCUGAAUAGAUCUUUAUAAUACAAGAUAAUUUCUUUAUAUUGUAUCUUUAUCCUCUAUGACACGAAUUCAACUUGAUUAAAUUUUUAAAUGAUAGGUUGGAAAAAUGAGAAUAUUUUUAUUUUUGUAUUUAAUGUUUGCCUGAUUUCUCUUCAUAGAUCCAUUACUUUGCUUUAUACUUGGUUAGUUAUGACUAUAACAUGAACUGGAUGUAUAUUUAGUUUCCAACCUUUUUCUCUUGAUGAACUUUGGAUUUGAUUAAGUAAAUCUUAGGAACUUCUUUUAAAAUUAUGAGACAGCUCAAUUUGCUAAAGUUCUUUUGUCGCUGUCAAAGCACAAAAAGAAUGAUAAUCUAUGCAUUCUACAAAUGACAUGUUGGCUGAAUGGUAAUGCUUAAUUUGCCCUGUUUGUUUUGAUGUGAGUUCACAUACUUCUUUGUAAAUUGCCUAUUAAGAUAUGAUAGUGAAGGGAGAUGGAAAACUGAUUAUCUGUAGUACAAUUCAUGCUUUUUCCAGGUCAAAAUGAAUUUUCUUAUUAUUUCCUGAACUCUUGCAUUUCUUCCUGAUUCUUUUCCUAGAUAAAUGUCUUCACAGCAAAGUAGUGGAGGUAGUUAUCCUGAUCUGGAGCAAGUUAUCCUGAUGAGGGGGCAAGUGCCCUUACUUAAAAUUUACUUUUCAGUAUUAAUUCAGAAUGUAUGAAAAUAUUUGGAUUACUUUUUUUAUUGUUUGUGUUAAUUGACCUUAGUGAGAUGGAAUAGGAUCAAUCCAAGUUCUAGAAACAUAGAUUCAUGUCAACUACCAAAUAGAUUUGGGCGCCAAUUCAAAAUAGUGGGUUUAGGAGUGGGCUUUCUUCUGAAAUAUUAAAAGAUCAGUGUGGUUGGUUCAAAACUUAGGAAAGUAAUAAUGUCAAAUUAAUGUUAUUUGUUAAAUACUCAAAUUGCAAAAUAUAAUUCAAUACUUUUUUCUUCAGUCCUCAGUAAUAAUUUUUAGAGGUUCUUUAUUUAUUUAUUGACAUAAAAGAUUUGGAUUAUCUCUCCUUGAUGCACCACGACAAAAUCUUAUACUCGUCCUCUGUUUGCAGCAUUAUUCCAUGUCCUUAUGUUUGAACCACCUUUCCCAUUGCAUGAUUCAGAAGUUCAUAUCUACAAUAAAUGUAGCUUUUUACUAUAUGUACGUACUCAUUACGAGGCCGUUAUUGUUUUAUCUGGUUCCUUCAGCUUGGACAGAACAUUGGAGAAGCAGUGAAGAAGUAAUGGUCAAUUCUCGUAUAAAAUCUAGAUGAUGAUGAAGUCUAUUCCGGGAAUCAAACCUAGUACUUUUUGUUUUAUGAAAAGCAAUAAAUAAAAGCCUAUCGAUUUUCAGGUGAAUGGCAUGCCGAUAACUGUUGGUGUGGGAAAUGUCAUUUCGGAAGAAGGAUUUUCAUUGUUGAUGUCACCAGCUGCUGCUGGAUCAGUUUGGGAAACCCUUCUAUCUCAAGGUGCUGUUCCAAUGGGUUCUAAUGCCUGGGAAAAACUAAGAAUAAUUAAAGGUGAUUAAUCCCUGCAUGCUUGGUUAGGCUUUUAAGUGAAUAGAUUUGAUUCUCUCUCUCUUUCUUCUUUCAAACUUUCCGCUAAUUUCAUUUUGCUCCUAUCCUUGUCAAUGAUGGGUAUUUUGCUUUGUUACAAAUUAUAUCAGUGUAAAGAAUGUAAAUUUCACAUUUUUUGUGAGGGAUUUGUUGAUCACUUUGAUGAGUACCUUAUAAAAUAUGGCAAAAUGGAUAAUCAGUUCCAUUAACAUUAUAGUUGCCUUGGCCCAGAGGAAAUAUAAACUUUAAUGAUGUAAAGCUUGUUUUUGGGUUUAAUGGUCAUAUGUGCUUCUUUUACCUGUUGCAGAUGUUAUCAGACUCCAUAACCACUGCUUGGUUUUGCAGGACGGCCAGCACCAGGAAAGGAGCUUACUAAUGAAUUCAAUGUUCUGGAGGCCGGUCUCUGGAACUCAAUUUCUUUGGACAAGGGUAGCUAACCUUUCCCUACUGGAGUCUUCAUAGAAAGGUUGAAUGAAGGUUGAUGUAAGUGUUUUCUUCUCAGGCUGUUAUAAGGGACAAGAGACCAUCUCUAGGCUCAUAACAUAUGAUGGACUUAAGCAGAGACUAUGGGGAAUUUGUCUGUCAGCACCAGCAGAACCUGGCAGCCCGAUAAUAGUUGAUGGGAAAAAGGUAUGCGUCAUUUUUUUGCUCAAUAUUCUUUUGACAAGAUAAAUAUCAAAUUAAAAUUAGUGGGUGAAUAACUUGUACCACAACUGCUCUGUAGUUUAGGUAUUAAUUCUGUUUUCUGGAAUUUGGAACCUCGUCACUUGAAGCCUAAUGUAUUUUUGAACUUUGUCAAGGUGGGAAAACUGACAAGCUAUACACUCGGAAGAAAGGAAUCUGAUCACUUUGGUUUGGGAUAUAUCAAGAGGAAAGAUGCUUUAGGUGGAGACACUGUAACUGUUGGAGACAACAUUGUUGGGACUGUAGUUGAAGUUCCUUUUCUUGCUCGGCAGUCUCCACCAUUACUGUCAAAGAGCUCAAGUUCUUGACUUUGAUGGUCAUAUAUAGCACUGUAAGCAAAUAUACUUACUGAUUCUGAUAUGCCAUGCAUGUAAAUGUAACCUGUUUGCAAAGAAGGCACAUUAUAUUAUCUUCCACAGCAUGCAUGUUAGAAGUCUAAAGAAUUGGUGUAUACUUGAGAUUAGGAGUGGGGAAAACCGAAUUGGAAUCGAAAAAAAUUCGGUUCGGGUCGGUUUUUUUCGGUUUUGGUUCGGUUUUAUUUAAACAAAAAAUUCGGAUUUAUAAAUACCGAACCACUCAGUUCGGUUUUCGGAUAAAAAAUUAUAAAAUCCGAACCGAACCGAAUUUUAGGUAUUUUCGUAAUUUCACUAGAACAUAUAUAUACACAAGUUAAACAUUUGCAGUUUGCACCACUCUCUCUCUCUCACUUUCAGCUGCAGCACAACUGUUUGUCCACGACCCAAACCCUAACUCUAGGGGUGGGCAUCGGUUUGGUUCGGUUCGGUUUCGGGAUAAAUUUUCAGUUUUGGAUCAGUUCGGGUUCGAAAAUUAAGAAAACCGUUGGGUUUUUUUGAAAAUAAAAUCCGAACCAAAAUCGAUAGGUCGAUUUCGAUUCGGUUUUGGUUCGAUUUCAGUUUUAUUUAAACAAUCGGUUUUUCAAUUCAUCUUAACAGUUUGGUUUUCGGUUCGAUUUUUCAGAUCAUUUUCUAUUUCAAACCAUGUACAAUAAUUUCCUCAUUUUCAAUAACUAUAUAAUAUAUUCAGAGCAUGUACAAUUUACGAUUUCAUCAAUAGUUACACUUCGCUUUUUUUCCUCUAGGUAGUUUUGAAAAUUAUUACCAAACGUCUAAUCUUAAGCGUCUCCUUUUUCAUUCUCAACACCCUCAUCAAAAUCAUCCUUCAUAAUCUCCUCUACAAUGUUGUUAUUUUCUUCCAUCCUGCACACAAGGCCUACUAUAAUCAAUGUAUAAUCAAACAAAAAUAAAAUAAUUUACAAAUUUGUAUUUUAAAAAAAAAAAGGCAAGAAUUUUGGACUAAAAUGAAAUUUUUUUAUAAUUAUAGUUACUGUUUUUAAUAUCAAAAGUUUUGGUAAAAAAUGUAAAUAAAAUGAAAUAAGUAUUUGUGCUGUAAUAUAAAUUAACAAAAUAUUAGGGACUGAAAUGAUAUUUUAUCUUGUUGACCUUCGGUCGAGGGCUAUUAUGAAAAGUUAGCAAACAAAUCAAAUCAUAAUAAAAUUUCUAUAUGUAAACAUAUCCUAAAUAUUGGGCCAUACUAAAAUUUUAUAAAGCAAAGGGAUCUAAACGAUAUUAUCCCUCCAUCAUCUUCAACAUUUCGUGAUUUUUUGAGUCUUCACCCAGCACUGCUAGGAGCACAAUAUCCAAACAGAAAAAUUGAAAAAAAUACAAUAACAUACUCAUAUCCAGACAAAGUUAAUAAAACUAAAUAAUAUUAAUAAUUUAAACAAACAUGAAAUAAGAGCAAAUCAAAGAGCCAUUUAAAAAAAAAAAAAACUGAGCAAGUUAGUCACGAAUGAAAACAAACCCAUUAUCUGAUUGGUUAGCUAGCGACGGAGUAAAGAAUGAAACGCAGUGGAAGGUCGACAACAAGGAGAACGAGCAAAGGCAGAUGCGAGUUAGGGUUUUGGUCUUGGGUAAGCAGUUGUGCUGCAGCUGAAAGUGAGAGAGAGAGUGGUGCAAACUGCAAAUGUUUAACUUGUGUAUAUAUAUGUUCUAGCGAAAUUACGAAAAUGCCUUAAAUUCGUUUGGCUAGGAUUUUAUAAUUUUUUAUCCGAAAAUCAAACCAAACUGAAUCACUCGGUUUGGUAUUUAUAAAUCCAGAUUUUUUGUUUAAAAAAACCGAACCGAAAAAAAAAAAAAAAAAAACCGACUGAACUGAAUUUUUUUUUUGUUCUGGAUCGGUUUUGCCCACCCCUACCUAACUCGCAUCUGCCUUUGCCCGUUCUCCUUUGCUGCCAAUAGGGGUGGGCGCGGUUCGGUUCGGUUUGGUUUUUUACUAAAUUUUUCAUAAUCGUUCGAUUACGAUUAUUUUAAAAUCAUAAUCGCGAUUAAUCAAAUUACUGAAAUAAUCAAAUGCUCGAUUAAUUGAAAUAAUUCGAUUCGAUUCGGUUCGAUUAUUUUGAUUAUGGGCCUAUUUUGAACUUUUUUUAAAUUUAAAACCUUAAAUUAAUAAAUCUACCACAAACAUAAAAAGUUAACAAACAAAAAAUCAAAACAUGUCUCAAAAUAUGUUCAAGAACACAUAACAUGAGACAAAAUAACUUCUUCUUUUUUCGAGAAACCUAAGAUAUCAAUGACAAUAUUUUUUCGAGAAGCAGCUGCCUUGACCAGAAAAAAAAAAGGUUAGAUCUUCUUUUUCUCCAUUUAAUUUUUUUAACUUAUCAACUAAGACAGAAAGAUAAGUCGCACAAUUAUGAAACGUAUUCAUAUUAGAAAAUAUACAGAAUGACACAAAUUUGUUAGGCUAUUUAUGUUGGAAAUAUGAGACAAAAUAACUUAUUUGAAAGAUAGCUCAGCCAGUACAACAACACCCAUCAAAAUAAAAUAAAAUGUUUUUAGCUAACAUGAUUAAUAGCCGAAUUCUCAAUUAAAUAAUAUCUAAUUGAAAAUUUAUCAAAAUACCAAUACAAUUAUAGAUAAUUAUUGAUUGCUGCUACUUCAUCUACAAUUUACAAAAAGUUUCAAAACAAUUACUUUAGAUGACUGGUGCAGCCAAAACUUCCAAGCAGGACCUCAACUAAGGUUCGACAGAAAGAAGGAUGCCUCAAUUUGUGCAAGAUCCCUUUACCAAAACAUACCUCAAUUUGUGUAAGAAAGAAAGAUGCACUGAUUGACACUCAACAACAGCAACACAAUAUUCACAAAAUCUCUUCCAAUAAUGCUCCAAGAUGAUUUAUCUUCUCAUCUCAUGGUUGCACGACUUGAUUGGUCGUUUCGCGACAUCAACUAAUACCAGAAAUUCACAUAACAGUUCAGUAUAGAAAGGCACAGAAAUUACCAGAAAUUCACAAACCCGAUAACUGAGACCUAGAAAAGAGACUCACCAUAGAGUGGCUGCAGUUGGAUUCACUUCACUAACGGAUUUGAAUCUGACCAUAAGGAAGCAAAUCUAACGGUCGCGGAUAACUGGAUGGUUUUGGUUUGGACGAUUAUUUUGAGUUCAGUUCCAGUUCCAGUUCGAGCUUGCAGCCGCAGCGACGAGCUUGCAGCGGCGGCGGCGAGCAGAGGGGACAAAAGAAGACAGAAGUGUGGCUGAAGGUCACGACUCGAGUCUGUGGCUGAAGGUCACGACUCAUGAGUUCGAUUUUUGCUUUUGGCUGAAGGUCACGACGAGCAGCGGCCAGCGGGAACAGAAGAAGUCAUGACGAGAUUUUAGGCUUUUAGGUUUUAGCUUUAGCUUUCAAAACAAUCGGUUUAUUUGAGAUUUUGGUUCGGUUUUCGAUUUUUUUUUUAAACCAAAAACCGAACCGAUUGAUUUUACUAUUUUUUUAUAUUACUAUUUCGGUUUUUUGGAGGUAAAAAAACCGCACAAAAAUUGAACCGAACCGAUCGAUUCGGUUUGAUUUUUAAUUAAUCAGCUUUUUUUGCCCACCCCUAGCUGCCAACCUUCCACUAUUUCAUUCCUUACUCCGUCGCUAGCUAGCCAGUUAGGUAAUGGGUUUGUUUUCAUUCGUGACUAACUUGCUCAGUUUUUUGUUUUUGACAUGGCUCUUUGAUCUGCUCUUAUUUCAUGUUUGUUUAAGUUAUUAUUAUUAUUAUUAUUUAGUUUUAUUAGCUUUGCUUGGAUAUGAGUAUUUUAUUGUAUUUUUUCAAUUUUUCCGUUUGGAUAAUGUGCUCCUGGCAGUGCUGGGUGAGGACUCAGAAAGUUACGAAAUGUUGAAGAUGAUGGAGGGAUAAUAUUGUUUAGAUCCCUUUUUUAUAGAAUUUUAGUAUGGCUCAAUAUUUAGGAUAUGUUUGCAUAUAAGAAUUCUAUUGUGAUUUGAUUUGUUUGCUAACUUUUCAUAAUAGUCCUUGACCGAAUGUCAUUUCAGUCCCUAUUGUUUUGCUAAUUUUUAUUAUGGCACAAAUACUUAUUUUAUUUUAUUUAUAUUUUUUGCCAAAACUUUUUAUAUUAAAAACAGUAACUAAAUUCUUCAUUUUAGUCCAAAAUUCUUGCCUUUUCUUAAAUAUAAAUUUGUAAAUUAUUUUAUUUUUGUUUGAUUAUAGUAGACCUUGUGUGCAGGAUGGAAGAAAAUAACAAUGUUGUAGAGGAGAUUAUGGAGGAUGAUUUUGAUGAGGGUUUUGAGAAUGAAAAAGGAGGCAGACGCUUAAGAUCAAACGUUUGGCAAUCAUUUUCAAAGCUACCUGGAGGAAAAAAAGCGAAGUGUAACUAUUGAUGAAAUCGUAGAUUGUACAUGCUCUGAAUAUAUAAUAUAGUUAUUGAAAAUGAGGAAAUUAUUGUACAUGAUUUGAAAUAGAAAAUGAUUCGAAAAAUCAAACCGAAAACCAAAUCGUUAAGAUGAAUCGAAAAAUCGAUUGCUUAAAUAAAACCGUUAAGAAAAUUGAAACCGAACUGAAAUCGACCUAUUGGUUUUGGUUUGGAUUUUAUUUUCAAAAAAACUGAAUGGUUUUUUUAAUUUUUGAACCCGAACUGAUCCGAAACCGCAAAUUUAUUUCGAAACCAAACUGAGGCCCACCCCUACUUGAGAUUGCAACUGUCUUCAACUUGAUUUUCAAGAUUAUUUAAGAGACAGUUUUAUGCCUCUCUGUUGUCUAGGUUGAAAGUCGAGGAGUGAAAAGGAGAUUAUAUACCAUCAUCAUUCUAUUAGCAUUAGUAAUAUGUUGGGGGAUAGGUUCGGCGGCUAUUCCAGUCUCCUAAGUACUCUCAAUCUAUCCCUUCGUUGUUUUGCAAUCUUAGGGUUGAUGAACUUUCAAUGACUAAGAUUAUAAAUAUCAUGUUUGCAUUAAUAAUGAGUCAGGCCCUGUUUGGGGGAAAUAUACAUUUAGGUAGGGGUGUUCGCGGAUCAGAUUUUACGGAUUAGACAUCAAUCCAUAUCCAAUCCACAAUUUUACGGAUUAUAAUUUUCAAUCCAAUCCAAUCCAAUCCAAUCCACGAAUUGAUUAAACUCAAUCCAAAUCCAAUCCAUACAUGUGCGGAUCGGAUGCGGAUUUGACUCAAUCCAUAUCCAAUCCAUACGUCUGCAGAUCGGAUGCGGAUUUAACUUAAUCCAUAUCUCAUCCACUAUUUUGCGCAUUAGUUUCCGAAUUAAAAAUUUUUAGUUCUCCCCAAUCCAUGAACUAAUGAAAUUAAAAAAAAAUCUUAUAUAAAAAUAAUUUUACUACCAAUUAAAUUUAAAAUUGAAUAAAAUUUAAACAAAUUAAUUGUUUAAAUAAAACUAAAAUAAUACAUUCAAAGUUUCAAAAUAUAGCAAAUCGAGAUUAAUUGUUCAAAUAAAGCUACAAUAAUAUGUUUAAAGUUUCAAAAUAUAACACACUAAGAUUAAUUGUUCAAAUAAAGUUACAAUAAUACAUUAAUAUAACACCGAAAUUAAUUGUUUAAAUAAAGUCACAAUUAAUUGAAAUGGCGAAGUUUCUGAAACCAUACAUAGUCUGAUCCUUCACUAGGGCUAUUGCACUUGUCGAAAAGUGGUGAUUACGAAGCUGUCAACAAUGGGAAUCAGGAGAAGUACGGGUGGCGAUCUUGAAGGUUGUGAUAGUGCAAUUGUUUGGCUGGAACCAGUGAUUGUGAAGUGGCUCGAUGGACUCGGGGAAGAAGAUGGCUUGCUCUCGCUGGAAUCACGCGGCUGAAGUCCUUCAAACCGGUGUCGAGAGUGUAUUGAACUAGUAUUGGGUGUUUCUAGUGCGUGUGACGGCGGGGAAGCUUAGGGUUUUUUGUUGGUGACUUGGCAUUAUGUUACUUUGAUUUCGGGUGACUUUGCAAAUUGUUGGUAAUUUGGCGUUAUGUUACUUUGCUUUUGCUAGUGCGUGUGACUUUGCUUUUAUUUUGUUUUACAAUUUUUACAAGUUAUAUUUGUAUAUUUGAUUAUUUAAUUAUUUUUUAUUUAAUAUUAUUAUUGGGUAAUGGCUAAGAUAUGUUAUAGUGCUUAUGUAACUAUAUAAUGUCACAUUUAUAAUAUUCUUUAAUUAAAUUUAUAAUAAUUUUUUAACUAAAUAAAAAAAAACAUAUAUAUAUAUAUAUAUAUAUAUAUAUUUUUUUUUUUUUUUUUUGCGGAUUCACUUAUUUUUACAGAUUUACAGAAGUAAAUCCAUAUCUAAUCCAUCGAUUGCGGAUUUUUAAAUUUUCAAUCCAUAUCCAAUCCACAGAUCCACGGAUCGGAUUUAUACGGAUCGAAUUUUCACGGAUCAGACAGAUUGAGCGGAUCGAAUUGAAUUCUGAACACCCCUACAUUUAGGAAUUAUGAAUGCUAAGUGUAAUCUCAGCUGUUGAAAGUGUGUGAAUCUAGUGGUUUAUCAUUUAUUAGGUAGCGAGUAUUUAUAAAUAUUUAUAAAUUUACAGUCUCUGAUGUUAAUCCCCACCCCCCUCCCCCCAAAAACCGAGAAAAAAAAAAAUGUCUGUAGAAGAACAUGAAUGAAGGUUCUUAAAGUUUAAAAAAUAAUUUCUGCCGAUUCUUUUCUUAAUCGUUUUAGCUUAAACAUCUCUCACAAAUUAUUAGCCGCCAGGGACCUAUCUGAGUGUUCAACAGUAUUAUCUGAGCCACGUUUUUGACUUGAGAAUACUUUAACUAACUAUAAAUAUCACAUUUGAAAGCAGCUUGUUGCUUAAUUGGUUUCACGAUCGUUAAACCUAUACAAGAUUUGAGGUCUAUAUUGAUAUAACUUUGUGUUGGAAAAAAUAGAAAGUCGUCAUUGAUGAUUGUAAAAUAUCAUGUGGGUUGAUGUGACAUUCAUCGAGAUGGAAAGACAUUUUUAGUUUUUAACUUCAGAUUCUACAAACAUACGCACCGACAAAACCUUGAUCGUUAUCUUACAUGCAAAAGAGUACCUUAUAGCGGGGGAAAUCUGUAGUGCAAUUGUGGUAUCGUGCCAUAGUUGCAUUCAACCGUUGGAUGUCAGUGGAUCCCACCAAUCCAAGUGCAUCCAACGGCUGGAUGCAACUGUGGCACGGUACCACAGUUGCACCGUAGGUUGAUCCCUUAUAGCGAUCUCAUCUACAAUAAUAUUACGAGUAGUGUUACAUAUUUUAUUUUUAUUUUUAAUUUUAAUAUGUUAUUUUAAAUGAUGUGUCAUUCAUCGUUAGUUGGUGAAAUAGUAUAAUUAAUUUACUUGAAUCUUAUAAAAAAAUUAUCAUCCACUCAAUAAAUGACAUAUCAUUUGGCAUGAAAUUUAGGAAUAAAAAAAUUUAAAAUAUAUAUCAUUAUUUUAUUAUUGUCUCACUAUAGAAAAAAUAGGGUUCACUUGAGAAAGAUAUUGAAACUGGAAAAUGCUAGCAGCUGGCUCGAAAACAAAAUAAAAUGAGACAAAAAGGGAAAAAUAAAUAAAUCAUAAGCUCCCUUUGAGAAGAUAUGGAGCGAUGAAGAUGAAGUUGCUCUUCUACCAAGGAAGAAUUCAACUCAUCAAAGAGAAAGAAACACUGAUUAUAAAAUUUUAUAAUUUUGUAACCAACGAACAAAAUAAAAUUGAAAAUUCUUGAAAAUUAACAUUUGGCAGUAUUCCCUUCUUUGGAAUUGUACCUUGCUCAAAACAACUUCAUCUUCGUCACUCCAUUCUUCUCAAACUGAGAAUAUAACUUUUUGGACUCAUGUUGAACGGUGUUUGAGCCAACAACAUGCCUGUGUUAUGAGCUUAUAACAGCCGGACAAGAAAUUAAACACUUAGAUCAACCUCCUGCAUUUCUAUGAAGAGUUUGAUGGUAAAAAGUUAGCUACCCUUGUUCAAAGAAAUUGAAUUCAUUAAUUAUCUCCAUUGCUGGUACCAGCCGCCAUGCAGAAGCCAAGCAGUGGUGUUAUCAUAAAAGACUUAGGAAUUAUAGCCUGAAAUGGACUAUAAAAACAGAUAAUCAUUGCAUUUUUACUAGUACAACAUUCUUCGAAAACAACAUGAACUUUCUACAAAAUAUCAACAUGAACUUUUUAUUUUAUGAAAUAUCAACUUUCUACAAAAUAAUGAAAACAUAUUGUUAUGGCCACCAAUCUUUUUCAUCUUUCUUUAAAAAUUUUUAUUAUAAAAUAAAAUAAAAUAAAAAUAAGGAAAUUUAUAAAUAAUAACAAAAAUAUUUGAGUGAGAAAAGUACUUAUUUAUUGUCAUGUGUAUAUGUAUGCUAUCAAUCAAUCGAUGACACAUAUGAUACCAUGUUAGUUGUCAUGCAAACAAAAUCUCCCAAAUCAGUAACAUAACUUUAUUAUCUAUCUACUGCGGAAUAAUUCUAUAACAUUUAUAAAUAAAUUUUAAUUAUGUAACACUCUAUAAGUUUAAUACUACUCAAAUUUAUUGAAUUUUAAUUAAAAAUGAAACUAUCAUGCUUUGAUUAUAUAAUUAUAAGUAGAGAAAUUAUCAACCAUAUACCCUUAAAUGACACUCGUAUCAAACGUGUGUGAACACUUUUCAAGUGUAUCACUCGUAUAUCCUAAGUUGACAAAAUUAAAAAAAAUGACAUGUCAUCCCAUUUACCUAGUAACAAAUUACAUGUCAUAUGAUAUAUAUUGAUAAAAAUGAUAUGUCAUCCUAUUUAUCGGAUAAUUGUUAAUAAUUGCUAAAAAAAACUACUUUACAACCAAAUCUACUCCUCCAAAAUUUAACCUAAAUUUUUGGAGAUCUACUCCUCCAAGCUCCAAUUGAAAAUUUUUAUGGUAUAAUAUGUAUAAUUGUAAAUAAUAUGUUGUUAAUAAUUUUUUUAUGGUAUAAUAUGGAUUUUUUUUAUGAAUAAUUGUUAAUAAUAUGUACCAUUAAUAAUUUAUUUUUUAAUUAAAAAAAUGUAUUGUUAAUAAAAAAAAAAUUGUGUAUUGAAAAUUUACUUUAAUUUUUGGGGUAAAUUUAUCUUUUUACCUCAUUUUGAGUUUCAAGGGCAAAAUAGUCAAUUUGCCACAAUUAUGUUAACUUUCUAAUGGAAGUUAACGGAUUGGUGGACGGCAGAGGUGUUUUGUCAACUUAGGGUAUACGAGUGAUACACUUGAAAAGUGUUCACACACGUUUGAUACGGGUGUCAUUUAAGGGUAUAUGACUGAUAAUUUCCCUUAUAAGUAAAACACCAUGUUGAACGAAUAUAAUAUAAUAUUACCACAUAAAUAUCUUUUUAAAUGAUUAUGUACAAAUGAAUACAGUUGGGCCACUAUAGGCAAAGGACACAAUUGUCCAAAAAGAUGUAUGUUUGACUAAUAUAAAAAUAAGAGUGUCUUUGUGAUUAUUUUACCAAACCACAAGUGUGUCAAUGUCCUCUCCCUUAAUGUGAAAAUACAAUGUGAAUAAGACUUGAAUUUGUAAUUUACAAUGUUGUUCGACCACAAGGGGCGGCAAAUUGUCUUUCAACCUCUUUGUUUAGCUAACUAUCCGAGCAGACUGAGCUACACUCAUAUGGGAGACAAGAGCUAAAGAUUCCUCUACCUUUUAUCAUCAUCAUCAUUAUUAUCAAAUUAAAAAUUAAAAAUUAAAAAUAAUGUUGUAUAGACAUUCUGAUAAUAAAACUUCUAAUAUAAAGUUCAGUUUAAUCAAAUUAUUAAUGGCUAAUAAUGAUUGUAAUUAACUUUUUUUAAAAAAAUUUAAUCUUAUAACUAAUUGCAAAAGAUGAAAAAAUUAAUACAACACAAAAGAUUAAAUAAAGUAAUUAAUUUCACAUAAGUUUGUAUGAAUUAAUUUGCAUAAGAAUUAUUCAUGAGUAUUAUUUAAAAAAUAAAGUAUUAAAUGCUUUAUAUUUUUCUAAUCUACAAUUUUUUUGGAGGGUAUCCAUAAAACAUAUUAAUAUUAGUUGAAAUUUUUUUUUAUACUUUUUAAGUAAAGCAUUAUUACAUUAUGCAAUAUAUGCAUGUGUAUGUAUGUAUAUGUGUCUGCGUGUGUAAUUUUAUUUUAUACAUAAAGUUAUUCUCAUUAGUAUAGAAGUUAUAUUAUUUUUAAAAGUAAAAUAUCAUUAAUUUAUAACAUGAUAUUAAGAAAAUAAUAUUAAUUUAUAAUUUAUUUUAUUUAUUUAAAUUUAAAUAUUUUCUUUUAUGUAUAUAGUUAUAUAAGUAUAUUUUCCAUGAAUUAAAAAAGUAAAAAAAUAAAAAAAAUAUUUUCUCGUAAAGUUGAGGGUGUAUUUGAUAGUUUUCAAGGUUAAAUUGAUAAAUAUAAUAAGAUCAUUGAUCAUGAAACAACUGAUUACAAAAGAUAAAAAAAAAUUAGUACAACACAAAAGUUAAAUAAAGUAAUUAAUUUCCAUAAGAUUGUAUGAAUUAAUUUGCAUAAGAUAUUCAUGAGUACUAUUUACAAAUACCAAAUAUUAGAUUCUUUAUAUUUUCCUAAUAUACAAUUUUUUUUAUGGUAUCCAUAAAGCAUAUUAAUAUUAGUUGAAAAAAAUGUUUUGAUAUUAUUCUGAUUUAUAUGUAGUUAUUUAAGUAUAUUUUCUAUGAAAUAAAAAAGUAAAAAAUAUUUUUUUUUCUUGUAAAGUUAAGGGUGUAUUUGAUAGUUUUCAAGUUUGAAUAAAUAAAUUUGAUAUUUACUUAAAAUGAGGGUAGUUAUACGAUAAUUACUAUUAUUAUUGAUUACUUUACCUAAUUAAAAUAAGGUUAUUACUCUAAAGUAGAGCACGAAUUUUAGUUAUACAUGUAAAUUAAUAAAUAAUAAAAAAUUUAUUAUAACUUUAAUAUUAUGAUUAUAAAGGAGUGCUUUACUUUGAAGAAGUUCCACCCUGGACUCUUAAAAUAAAUGUAACCCGUGGCCAGUUAUAAAUGAAAUUAAGAAAAAAGAAGUAACAAGCGGCUCAGUAAAAUUUUGAUUUGGUAUACCAGUAGAAUAAAAAUGGGCCUACCAAACAAUUUCUACGCCUAUUUUUGUUGUCAUAGAAAGUAAAACAAGAAAGUUAAAAACAAAAAACAAUGCCAAAUAGCCCAACUUCCCAAAUUUUGCGGACACCCAUAAAGUUGGUUUUUAAGAUUAUAUCAAUUGUUGUCGGUUGAUGAGCUAUUAAAAGACAAAAUAAGAUUCUCUCUUAGUCAAAAUAUUUUUAAUUUUUUAUAAAUCUUAUGUGGCUUAUAUUUUAGUAUUAAUUUAUAUUUAAGAUUUAAUUAUCUUUAUUAUUUAAUUUAUUAAUCACUUUAAUAAAUUUACUUAAAAAAUCAGAUCAAAAGAGAUCAUGAUCUAUUAAAAAUGAUUAUUUUACUUAUUUUAAACAUAGUUGAUUAGCCGUAAAUGUUUGCUUUCAUUCGAGUGUAAAUAUUAGUGUUUAAUAGAUAAGAUUUUUCAUCUUAAUUCAAAUAAAGCAUUUUAUAUUUGGUAAAAUUCAUCUAACUAAACUAGGAUUGAGCCAUUUAGUUGGCUUCAGUAAAAACUAGUCACUGAUAUUAGUUUUUUUUUUUUAUUUCAAUUGACAACUAGCCUACACGAUAUGAUUCAUAGAACUAGUGCGAUACCCAACUAGUGUGAUACCCAACCAAUGGUGCUUUGUCUUCUUGCAUAGCUGUGGUGAGACCUAUUAUAUUUAAAAUAAAAAAAAAAUUAUAUGUAUAUAUUUUUCAUAAUAAAUUCUUGUAUAUGUUUCAUAACAAGUUAUUGCACUGUUUUAAUACCGUGAAAUAUCACUGGAUGCAUUCGAUAUCGUAGAAAAUGAAAAUUUGUGAUUACAUUGACAAAGAGACCAAAUGAGAAAAAAUGGCAAUGCAGUAAUAUCCACACUUGAAAAAAGUUAUUAUUUAUGAGAAUGAUAAUUAUUCUAAGAACCAAUUUAUUUCUUUUUUAUACUACCAAAUUAUUAUUUAAAAUGUGAAUAAAGAAGAAAAAGAAAGAUUAUUCGCUACACCGGUCGCUGAAUUCUUUACCCUCAAUUGCUUAGUUGAUGCCAGGGAGAGAAAGAGAAAGCAGUGUAUCAAGGAUUUUGUGACGCUAAGGCUGAAAGAUUAGCUAAACUUGUUUUCUAUCCAGGAGUUCAUGUCUUCCCACAAGGGUAAAAUUGCCUUGGUAAUCAUUUAACAAUUAAGUACAGACAAAAUUUUUCAAUCUUAAUGCAAAUAAAUUGAUCAAUCGCCAGAAACAACGAUUAGUAAUUAACAUUAUCAUUAACCCAUGAGUGAAUGUAUCAUUCAGCUUGUUAAGUAUUUUCCUCCAUGAGAAAAUUUUUGCUCUAUACAACAAUUCUUUGAGCAAAGUAUGUAUUUACUAAAAUUUUGUUCAUACAAUUAUUUGAGCACAGUAAAUAUCUACCAAUACCAGCUGAAGCACAUUAUUGUCAAAUAAAACAGAGAACAGAAGAAAAAAUCAUCUAUAAUCUGAGAUAAUGAAUACAGAUGUACCAAAAUUUAGAUUACAAAAGCUCGCCCUAUUCCAGACCCAAGUAUCAACUUAUCUGUUUAAUGUUACCAUUGUUAUGUCACAAAGUUACUGAUUUCGGCAUCUAAUGCACAAAUUCUGAUUACGCAAGAUGCUACAUGUCAUGAACAAAUGUAAAUUGCAUUUAAAAAAUUAAAAAAAAAAAAACUCAACAAAAUCUCAACAGACCAUGUGUGAUUUGCUCACAUGAUUCUGUUAAUACCUAACAAAUUGGCGUUUAUCAUCUUCAUCUCUCUGCCUACCAUAAGGGUUGCUUUCACUGAAUCCAUUUCUGCUUCCUUCGACUUUACGCGUUUUCUUUCUAAACUUAGAGGCACUGCUGUCUAUGGUCAGAUUCACCUUAGGUGGUGAAGAAAAGCAAAAUGAAGCAGCGACUGCCUGCUCAAAAAUACAACAGACACACAAUUAUACCACCGUAUGUCACAAUAUCUAAUGGUUUUCAGUUGUAUAUCACCAUAUCUUAUGAUUUAAUGAGGAGAGAGAAAUGCAUCCAAUGAUUAUUUAUCAUAAAAUGCCAAGGACCUAAUUUCAAAACUUCCAAACAAACUUGAUAAUAUCACCCUAACUCAAAUUGGAGUUUCUUCCCAUUUAGAAUAAAGUACGACCACAUUCAGUUUAUUUAAUCCAUCCUCUCUUUUCCAUACACAAAAACGACUCAGUCAACCAGCAGUGCAACCGCCAACAUUGCUAGCCAUUUAACCAUUCAAGUCCAAAAUAUUCUUCUGUCACAAACUUAUUACCGCUAUUUUUCUCUGUUGUCACCAUGAGAUUAUUACACUACAAUUCUACUCCUUGUUAACAAACUAUUAUUUCAAGAUUCAAUCAUAAAUACUUGUUCCAACACAUUAUGUGGCAAAAUGCUUUAAACUAAUACUGCUUUCUGAACAGACAGGAGAACGACUAAUACCUGCAGAUCAAGGCGGUGUACAUUGAAGAUAUCCUUCAUAGAGUGUGAAUUAUAUGCUAGUAUAUAAGAUCGAUAUGCAUCUUUAGCUGACUUGUUCAAAUAAUAGUUGUUAGCAACCAACUUCUCCUGCAUAAACCCAAGCAGUCCAAGCUAAGUUGUCUCGCUAAUAACAAUCAAGGAUCAUAAACAAUGAGGAAGCCUGCUUUACCAGAUGUGACUGCACAUUAGCCAGCUUCUUUUGGUCAAAUUCAUACUCUUUAACAGGGACUUUUGCAGCCUGAAAGUGAAGAGGGAUUAUAAAGAUGUUACUUACUGUGUUCUUGUUUAUUGUAUUUGCUCAUGUUGUACUAAUGUUGAUGGCCCUCCAAAACAACCACCAACCACCCCCAACCCAAAAGAAAAAAAAAAACAACUUAUUUUUUCAUCUUGUUUCCUACUUUUUAGUGAUAGGACAUCAUGCUGCCUAAGCUUUACACUGAUCAUGACUGUUUUCAAGGUGGCACUUAGAUUAUCAGAGAUGCGUACAUAGGUUUUAGUUCUAUUCCCCCAAGUUAUAUAAUCAAAAUACUUGACCUUCAGAUAUCGAAGAAAUUGUAACUCUUCUGGAAUCAAGAAAAGUAGCGCAUUUCCUCUUGCACCUUCUCCACGGGCUGUCCGACCCACCCGAUGAAUAUAUUCCUGGAGGUAAUUCAACGCUACAUGUUAAUCAAGAUGAAUGAAAAACAAUGAAAAUGGAGCGAGAUUCACUAAAACAUUAGCAAGAAACAGUCUUUUAUACCUUGGGUUCAUCAGGAGGAUCAUACUGCACAAUCCAGUCCUACAAGGAAGUCAACAAAAUUGUUCAUAAAAACCAAUUUUGCAACAUAUAAUCAGCAGGACUCCAUGGCCCCACAAUAAGUACAGCAACAGUUCUAACCAAAGCUCUGUUUUCUUAAAUAUUGUUUCAAUAAUUUUGACAAACAGUAAAAAGAAAAGACAGCCUUCAAACUUACAGCUAUUAGAUAAUAUUUAAACUUCCACAAAAAUCGUAAAUCCCUACACCUAAUAUCAAUAUAGAAUUCUACCAUCUGGCCUUUGAGAUAGAUAACCACCUUUUCUUUGUGGGUAUGACAUUAGCUGCCAAUUUAAGAGCAUAGAAAGUGAUGACUUUUAGUUUAAAUUGUGGAAGCACUUAGGAUACCCAAAGCAAAUGCAUAUUAAUUUUGGAUAGCCAAAUUCUCACGUACAGUUCAAGGAUCAUGAUAAUAGAUGUUACCAAUUGGAGUUUAAACUAAUGCGUAUAUAGUAGGUCUUUAGAAGUGGCCGAAGUUAGGUUGCAAGGUCAAAAGUUCAUAAAAUAAUACUUUUCAAGUACAAUUUGGAAAAUCUAGAAGCCGUACAUACCAAUGUAAUUCUUUCAAUUCAAGUGUAGACUGUGUAUACAGAAUACUCAGAAGUUUUCAAGCUCUAUUUAGGACAGACUGACACAACCCUUACCCUAGCAACUUGCCAACGGAUCUUAGGUUUAAUGCUAAAGGAAUUCUAGUAGAGACAACAAGAAUAAUUAUUCUAAUUCUUGUUCCUUUUAUUUUCUGCAAAUUGUUUCAGUUACCAUCAGCCAGAUUUUACUGUAUCAGAACAAAACUAUAAUUCAGAAACCCCAACUUUCCCCUGGUGAUUAGUCCUACAAAGCACAUACCACAGCAGGAAUGUCAAGUCCACGGGCAGCUACAUCAGUACACAACAAGAUGCCCUUCUCCGCCUUGCAGAAGUCAAAGAAGGUAGUGGUUCGUUUCUGUUGCUUUUGCUUUCCAUGGAUAUCAAAGCAAUCCACCUGAAUAUAUCUGAGAAGUUCUGAAUGAAAUUUGACUGAAUUACACGAGGAGAAGAAGACCAUCACUUUCUUUGACAGAUUCCUCUUCAAGAAGGAAUAUAGAAGGAUAAAUCUCUUGGCACUGGGCACCACACAAUAGCCUUGCUGCAGGCCUUCGUUGGUGACCUAAAAAUGAUCAGCAUUUUGUUAGUUUAAUUGGUGAUAGUUGAGUGUUUAUGCAUGUGUGCAUUUGUAUUAGUGCUUGUAUUUACAGACAACAAUUCUGCUCCACAUCUACCUUAGUUCUCCCAUCAUCCACAUCAAUAUAAACUGGAGUUGUCUGAAAUGACAAGCGAGCAAGAUCCUCAACCUGCAGAUAUCAUGUAGGGGUGAAAAUUAUAACCAUGAGCCAAAAUUCAGAUAAACUACUUCAGGAUUUCAUUAAAAAAAAGUAAGAAAAUAUCUAAAAAUCUUCUCUAAAAGAUAUAUAUCAUUUUCCAGGUAGAUGAUAAACGAGCUAUAAGAAUAUUCACUAUAAAUAUGGCCAGAAACCGAAUAGUUAAUAGUAAUAAGUUUGAAAACAAACCUUCUUCGUUUGCGUAGCUGAAAAUAAAGCGGUUUGCCUAUCCUGCAUAUUAUGUAGAAACUCAAUAAGGAUAAAGCAUUGGAUAUGAUGCAACAAAAACUUAUACUCAAAAGGCAGCUAUAACAGAAAUGACCAUCAAUGAUCUCGGCAUAUUAAAGCAACAAUUGCCGACAAAACUUGAAGUUUAAGGAGGUAAAACAGAAUAGCAAGUAGUACAAGCUAUACUCAGGAAUACCCUAGAAAUAAAUCCACCGCUGAAGGCUCCAGUGCCCCAGCAUCAAGUCUGCAAGGUCAUAAAUUAAGUUAUCAAGUGAUAGAGCAUAGCUUUCAGUUGAUUAACUCUUUUGAGCCACUACUGCUUCCAAGUACCAGUUCCAACAGAAAAUCAUCACCAGAAACAAGUUAGACUCACUCUAUAACCACAUCAAAAGCCAAAGGAACUUAUUCACUGGCAAAAAACAUUAUAAGAGCAUUAAUUAAAUGACUUCACCUUCAUGUAACCAUUUCUAAAAAUGUCUUCUCAUCAUACACUAUUCAUACAUGAUUCUGGAAACAGAUUCCAGCACAAAUUUAACCAAAAGCAUAUUACAUUUCUUAAACAAUAUUCAAUUGCCAUAACCAUGUCAUAUUUGGCUAUAUUUGACAUAAUAGAACUGUCAAGAGUUAAGUACUUCUAAAUUGAACAUAUAAAUGUUUACCACUUAAUAUACCUUCUUUGGUAGAAGCUUCAUAAUUUGCCUCAUUUCUUCCUCAAAGUUUGCUUCCAAUAUUCUGUCAGCUUCAUCAAUAACAAGGCACUGCAAGUCCAAGAUUUUCUCAAGCAAAAUUUGGAGAUACAUAAUAUAAACAACAGCAUAUUUAUGCUCAAGUUAGUGAAAUAUGUUUCAGGAUAUAAAGUUGCACUCGUUAUGUUACCUUCAGAUUCUUAUAUAUAAACCCCUUGGUAUUUUGAAGAUGGUCAAGAAGCCGACCAGGGGUUGCUACUAGCAAAUUUACUCCUUUCACAAUACGUUCUGCUUCUCCUCUUCUAGCUGAACCACCAAUAACCAAGCCAACAGUCUGGGAGUGAUACUUUAGAAGGUCCUUUGCAACAGCAUGGGUCUAGCACAUUUGAAAGUUGAAUUAGUGAUGACAGUAAUAAUUAAGGUUUUAGGAGAAGAAAACAAUCUAAACAGAAAUCAGAAAUGCCUGCAUUUCUAUAUUAGUGGGCUAAAACUGUAAACGAAAAUAUAUUCUUCUACCUUUUUCUCCUUAACUAUUGUCCACUGUUUCUUUGCCUUUCGUAGAAUAGGUAUAUUACAAGUAGAUUGUAACAUAUAAGCCAUUCCUAUUCUACUUUCCACAAAAGAUGCAUUGGAAUUCGACAGUAAAUCUCACUAUUCCCACAAAAGAAACUGUUAAGUUCUCUUCUAAUGCAUCUCCAAAUAGAAUCCUAACAAUUAAAUUUAUUACUCCAGAUCUAAAAUAUUCGAACUUGCAUACUGUAAAGACAUCAUCACAGCAUUUCAACAAGCAUUAAAGAAAAUGUCUAUAAAGAAAGAAAUUUAAAGACAUAAUACCAAGAAAAUGCUAACAUUAUCAGCUGCAAAAAAUGUUACAAGGAUUUUCACCUGAAUGGCAAGCUCCCUAGUGGGGCAAAUGACAAUAACACCAGUUCCAUUCCUAGGGGCGAAUUGAGCAUUAUACAACAACUCAACUGCUGGAAUUAAAAAGGCAAGGGUUUUUCCUGAACCGGUCCUGGCAGCUCCAAGUACAUCUUUGCCAACCAUAAGUGGUGGAACUGCUCUGGCUUGGAUCUGCAUUUGUAACGACAUAUAAAAUUUAGGAAAUAUGAUAUGUAAACUCUCUGUGUUUAUAGUCUGGAUGAUGCAGUGUACAAAUGAUCUUACGAAAAUCAUUACUUAAUACUCCUAAACGAGAGACAGAAGCGUUCUUCGGAAAAUUUCAUUUAGAACUCCUACACAGCUAAUGAAAUAUUAUUAUAUGACAAACAUGUUAUACGUAAACUCUCUGCGUUUAUAAUCUGGAUGUAGUGUACAAAAGAUCUUCACAAAAGUCAUUACUUAAUGCUCCUAAACGAAAGACAGAAACAUUCUUUGGAAAAUUUCAUUUAGAACUCCUACGCAGCUAAUGAAAUAUUUUUAUGUGACAAACAUAAAUUUCAUUCAACUACUGGCCAAAUUGGAAAAAGUAAAAUACUAAUCAUGGACCAGAAAGUAAAAAAGAGAUCAUAUGCAUAGAUCCAGAGAUAAUGAUUAAACCUCCCUGGAAUCUUAAAAAGACUUAAAAGUGUUUUAGGUAUAACCUGAGGAAGGGCGUUGAAAAGAUAUAAGAUAAGGAAAAUUUUGCACAGAUCUACUUUAUGUUUACUUAACAGGGUCCAUGUAAAUGACAAUGAAAAACAAAUCAUUUCCUCAAAGUUCAUCCUCACUGGGAAGAAAUUUCCAGAAAAACGCUGCUUAAAAGUGAAGAUUUCCAUGAGCAUCCCAAAAACAUCCACAAAAAAAGAGUUUAAACCAAGGUCCUAGUUCUACAGCUUCAAAAUCAAGGAGCCACAUGUCAUGUAAAGUCAGUUCCUCUGAGAGAAAAGCCUGAAAUAAAAUUUAAUCCAAUAAGUCCUAAACCGUCCCUUUCUAUCUUUGCCAAGUAAUGAACCCCAAGUGUAUAUUCUCAAGGCCAAUACUGCAAAGUGGUCGCUUGAAACUCUUUCAUUUUUAGCUCAACAUUGAGAAAGCUCAGUAAUAGAUGAUAGCACAGGCAUCAAAAUCAAAGUCUCAAAGUAAUAUAGCAUAAUCUUAAACAUCAAAUUUCACCAACUAACUUCAAUACUAAAUAAAGCUAAAUAAUAUGAGCAUAAGCCUAAAACGGAAACCUUUGAAAAUGUACCUGAGUCAUAAAUUGAAAACCCAUAUCCUGAAUUGCUCUAAAAGUGUGCUGAGACAAUCCCAAAGAAUCAAACGACGUCGUACUCAUAAUCCCACCUCCUCCUCCUCCUCCUCCACUCUUCUUCACAUUAAUUUUAGUCUCCUCUUCUUCAUCCUCAUCGCCAUCAUGUUUCUCCUGGCUUUUCUCUUCACUCCCUUUUUUAUUCUUCUUUUUUUUAUCUUUCUUCUCCUCUACGGCCUCUUCAAUCUCUUCAUCUUCAUCAUCUCCUUCUUCCUGCUCUUCUUUUGGAACUUGCUGCUGCUCUGCUUCUUCUGCUACAGUGGCUUUGCUUCUGCUGCGCUUUCUCUUCCUCUUCUUCUUCAACUCGUCAUUCCCCGCCAUUGCUGCUCGUGCUUGUCUCUGACUAUUGUGUUAAAAGGCAAGCGAAGCCGAUAAUUCACACUACUCUAUCAAGCGACAGCGUUUGCAGCAUGUAUUAAACCCUAGAACACGAAGCUGCCGCAUGACUCAGGUUUAAACUUUGAUAUUGAUACUGCUCAUGCUGGGCCUCUCGUAGGGCCGCCGCUUCAGGCCCAUGAUACGACCCAACACUUGUUAUUUUAUGGACUAUGCACAUUAUCCAAAAAUGACGAUGCAUCUACAAAUUAUUGUAUAAAAUUUCUGGGUUACGAUCGUUUCACUAUUACUAAAAUUAUGAAUUAUCAAAUUUCCCUGCUGGCCUAUCAGAUUUUCCUUAAAACUAAAGUAUUGCUUCCUAUCAUUGUAGUAUUAUAAUUUUGUAAAAUCUUUCGUUUUAUCCUUUUUUUUUCUUAAAACCAUUAAUUGAUUAAUAAAAUAUCAAUUUUACCAUUUAUGAUAAAAUACACAAUAGAGAUAUCAAUUAGUAGAUAAAAAAUUACAUUAUACCUUUAAAUUGUUUUAUAAUAGUUUUAAGCAUGAAUUUAUAAAUAAUGUUGAAUUUAUUAUAACUAUAAAAGUAGCAAAUUGACAAAAGAUAUUUUUGUUGUUACAUGUGCUGUAGAAAUAAUCAGAUGUAAAGAGAAUUAAUUAAAUAUUUGGUAAAAUUCAUUUUUAAAAAUGCUGUGAGUUUUAAAAGCAGUCAUGUGUGUUUGAUAAAUUGUACUGUUAAAUUGCUGUAGAAAUGUAAAUAAUUAAAUUAAACAUAAUGUUGAACAAAUUUUAUUUAUACAUUUAUGAAUAUGUAUAUGCAAUAUUUUUUAUUGUGUACAUAAUCAUGGAUAACUAAAAUAAAUAUUUUAUGUUAUUAAUUUUAUUUCCUAAUUAAGGAUAAUUUUAGAUUUUAAUAAUAUAUAUGAGGAUAUAUGUGAAAUUGUAUAAAGUAUAAAAGUGGUUCACAAAAUCAGAUUUUAAGAAGUUACUCGUUCCCUUGUUGGGAAGUUUUCUUAUAUAGUCACUUUCAAAAACUCAUUAUCAAAACUAGCCAUAAAAUAAAAUUUCUUAAAAUAAUAACCACACGCACUUUUAUGGACUAAAUUACCCCUCCCUAAAGAUCCUCUCUCAUUUCAUGCCAACAACUAAACACAAACUAAUUCACCUCAACAACUAAACAAAAACUCCAUAAAACUCCUCCCAUUUCACUUCUCAAACUCCUCCAACAACCAAACACAAAACUACUCUGAUUUCAUUUGCAUCAAACAACAAUUAUUAACUAGCACUGAAGACAAAAUCAAUCAACACAAAAAAGAAAAAAAAAAGCUGUAGAAGGAAUUAAGGUUAGUGUUUUUUGAAAUUUAGAUUAUAAGAUUAAUUAAGUUUUUUAUAUGGGUUUUGUAGAUAUUUGUAGAAACAAAUAUCAUUAUUAAUUUUUAUUACAAUGUGGGUAGAUAUUUGAUUGUGUGAAUCCAAAAAUUAGGAAAAGUCUAAUAAAUUAUGUGUUUCUAUGAUUGUAGAGGAAACUCAGAUCGUAGUCGAAGGUUGGCAUUGCCCGCCCUUCUCGCAGGCUAAGUGCGGGCGAUGGUUGAUAUCGCCCUCAAGAAUUACGGGCGAUGGCUGAUAUCCACCGUGAGAACUGCGGCUGAAGGCAUCCAUCGCCUGGGCAAUGGCACCCUUCACCCACAUUUCUCGCUAAUAUUGCUUGCGAGAAUUGCGGGUGAUGGCACCCUUCGCCCGCAUUUCUCGUUGAUAUCGCCUACGAGAAGUAUGGGCGAAGGCAUGCAUUGCCCGGGCAAUGGCACCCUUCCACGCAUUUCUCGCUGAUAUCACUUGUGAGAAGUGCGGGCAAAGUCAUGCAUCGCCCGAGCGAUGAUACCCUUCGCACGCAUUUCUCGCCGAUAUCACUCGCGAGAAGUGCGGGGGAAGGCAUGCAUCGCCGGGGUGAUGGCACCCUUUGCACGGAUUUCUUGCUGAUAUCAGUUGCGAGAAGUGCGGGGGAAGGCAUGUAUCGCCCGGGCGAUGGUACCCUUUGCACGCAUUUCUUGUUGAUAUCACCCUCGAGAAGUGCGGGCAAUACUAGGCAUUGCCCGUGUGAUGAAUGCCUUCACCUGCAGUUCUUGUGGGCAAUAUCUGCGAGAAAUGCAGGCGAAGGAUGCCAGUGCUCGAGCGAUGGAUGCCUUCGCUCGCAGUUCUCGUGGGCGAUAUUAGCCAUCGCCCGCACUUAGCCCGCAAAUCAAUUAAAAGAUACUAUAAAAUUGUAAGAAAGUCAUGCCUUUAGUUCAAAUCCCCACGCCGUUGACAAUGCAGAACCUUUUGUUGAUGGAGGCUGUGAUGGUGAGAUUGUGAUGAUGGGGCUGUAAAAAGAAAUUUAUGAGAUGACAGGCGAUGAUGGGCGAUGACAUGAUUUAGGUGAUUUAGGCAAUUUCGACAAUGGUCUUUGGAGAGGGAUAAUUUAGUCCAUAACAAGUGUGUAGUUUAUUAUUUUAAGACAUUUUGUUUUAUGGCUAAUUUUGAUAAUGAGUUUUUGAAAAUGGCUAUAUAACAAACUUUUCCUUCUUUUCAAAAUCUAUUAUAGGAUAAGGUGAUUUUGGCAAAAGUGACUUUUAAAAAAAUUUACCAAAUGCUAAAAUUAGCUUUUAACUUUUAAAUUCACUUUUAAACCUCCCAAAAUCAAUCUUAAAUAGGGCUUUACAUGUUUUUUUUUUAAUAGAAUAGAUUGUGCACUUUUUUAAACAAAAAUGUACAAAGGUAUUUUUAUCAAUUCACUACUUUUAUAGCUACAAUAAAUUCAGGGUUAUUCAUAAAUUCAUGAUUAAAUUAUUAUUUAAUAAUUUAAGGGCAUAACAAUAAUUUUACUAUCAUUUGAUAUGUCUAUUUAUUUAUUUUGCCAUAAGGAUAAAAUUGAUAUUUUAUUAGUUAACUAACUAGUCAAUUAACAAUCCUAACGGAAAAGUAAUAAAAUGAAAGGUUUUGUAAGGUUAUAAUAAUAAAAUAAUAGAAAAAAAUACUUUUUGUAUUUAUUUGAUAUUUUACAAUUCUUCAAAUACUGAAAUAGUAAUAACAUAAAAAUUUUUAUGUAAUUUUAUAUGAACGCUUAUGUGACCUAAAGGAAUUAAUAAAAAACCAGAAUCUAUUAUGAAAAACUCAUUCAACUUUCCUUAUUCUUCUACUGACUUGUAAUAAUCUGAUAAGAAAAAUACGAAUCCUAUUACACUAAUUUUUUUUGUCUUAAAGUAGAUUGGAGUUCAUUUUUUUUUCUUUUCAUUUUCAACUCCAUUCGAACGAGUAUUUUAUGCAAACCUCCGCAUUUAGUCACAACUUCAUGUACAUAUAUGGUUUGUUUCUAUUAAGGGAUUCCACACUCUAACUAAAGCAAGAUCCCUUUUGGAGUUGGUGGGCUCAAAUCCAAUAACUCAUUAGUUAUUCUGUAUUUACCUUAUUUCUUUUAUAUUCCCAUUGGGGGGAUAUUUUGAUUUUGAAAAAAAAUCAAAAGCAAAUGUUUUAGGAUAAAUAAUAAAUGAAUUAAGAAUAACAAGAAUGUAAUUGUGAGGUAAUGGGGACUGGGGUCGGGGUUGAAGGUGCAGUGGGGACUGGGGAGUACAAAUUAUUCUCCAGCAAUUAUUUGAUGAUUAUGUUUUACAAUUUCUUGUUUCCAUCAAAAUUCAUCUCAUUCUCAUCCCAUUUAAUGCGGAUCCUUGAGGUCCGAAACUGGUGGAGGAUUUCUCCAUCUGCACUCUUUAUAAUUUCAAAAGUUCACAUGCUUGAAUGACCAAAGCUAAAAUAUGUACUUUGGCUCCACUCGACUGUAAAAUAUUUCACGUACACACUUACAACUAUGGCGAAAAAAAAGGACUUUGAUAGUUCUUAUAGUUGAUGAAAAUAUGUAUUAUUCCCAUUAUAUGUUAUCUAAGUAAUUAUUUUCUUAACUUAGAAAUUUAUAUUUAUUGAAUAUUAUCAUCUUUUUUCUGCUAAAAAAUUAUAGUUUUUUAUAUUAAGUAGGGAUUAGUGCUCUCAACAAUGUUGAGGACAACAAUUCAAGUGCUCAUGGAGCUCCUUCCCAUUCUCACAAAAUUGUGAAAAAUUGAUAGAUUUCUCUCCAAUGUUAAUUUGUGGACUAAUUUUCAGUAUAUUUCUGGAUUAUACUAUAAAUCUAUAUAUUUAAAGUCCAAAUAGACAGUACCACAGAUUGUCAAUGGUGGACUCACAUAAAUGGAAAAAAAUAAAAUCUUAAAAGUCUCUAAAAUUUUAUAAUUUCUUUUGUACAAGAUUAGAGUUAUCAUAUUUUUCUUAAGUAUGUGCUGAAAUCAAUAUCUACUAAGAUAAUUGAAAUACCCUUUAUAGUUAAGUUAUAUCUACUGAAAUAAACAAAACAUCCUUUAUAGUUGAGACUUUUUUUUUUUUCACUUUAUAGUUGAGACUUAUUUUAUUAAAUAUAUGUAUUUUGUUUAAAUCAAGGUUCUUGAUGUAUUUGUUUCUUUUUCUUUUAAUCUUUUAUAUGAACACAAAUAUAUACAAUAAAUUUAUAAUUUAACUUGGCUUGAAUGUUAUCAAGGAAACGAUGCUAGAGUCCAAACCCUGCAGACACUAUUGAUAUUAAAAAAAAAAAAAAAGACAGCUUUUAAUGUACAAUUAAUUAUUUGAUAACACAGAGAAAUGCAACUUCCCAUCACUCCAAUGCAUGCCAAUUUCUGCUCCUUUUACAAGUUUUCUAUCUUUAGCAACAAGCCCCCAGUUAUCGAGUCGAUAUAGUCUCUUCUUACUAUUUAGCAGUAAUGACAACUUAUAAAUUUUCAUUGUAUUAUUAUUAUUACUACCAGCAUCUGUAUCUUUAGCUUCGAUCUCAACUUGUCCAGCUUUACGCAAUUGCUUGCGUUGAUCAUCUGACAACUUCUUGACGAUGUGUUGUUCAGCUUCUGUUCUUGGUAAAUUUAGAAACAAGAUUGGACUUUUCUUCCUAUUUUCUAAAUUGGGAUUGUAGAUUGGAAUAUUUUCUUCAUUGUCAAUUGGAUUUACUGUUUCUUCUUCACUUAAAAUUCUUUUGAUAGGCCAUGCAUGCAAAGCACCUAAAUUCAUGAAAUCGUAAUGUGUUGGUGGAUUCAUGGACUAAAAUUGACAGAAAGAAAGAAAGAGUGGCAAUAUAUUUGAAGAAUAAUUCAGCAUGCAUAGAAGUGAUUUUUUUCCUUUUUUUUAUUUAUUUUUUUCUGUUGGCAUUAUAUAUAUGUAAUGAACACGCCUUAAUUUAAUUCCUAUUGAUUGUGCAUCCAUAUUAUAUUAAUAUAAUUAAUUCAUGCAUGCUUGCAUGUUUGUAGUUAUUGGUAUUAUUAGACAAUACUAGAAUGCGCAACGCCAACUUCUGAUAACUAUUAUUUAAUACAUUUCAAGGAAUAAGAAAUCUUCUGAAGUUACUAGGAAAUCAGAUAAUUGACAAUUAAAAAAAGAUGAGAAAAAGAAGAUUUAAAUUAAAAAGAGUGGUAAGAUCAAUUUGAAGACCUCCUUCAAUAAAUUAAAUUUAGAUAGGGAUAUCAUGUAAACAAAACGUAGAGCACAAUAUAAUAGCUAGUAAACAAUAAUGAAUAAUGGAUAUGUUACAUACAUGUAGAUAGAUUCAUGCAUGAUGCUUUUCUUAUUCGAGCUUUUAUCUAAACAAAUUCAAGUUGGUGAUUGAUUAUUGAUAAUAUAAUAUAUAGUUGGUGAUUGAUUAUUGAUAAUAUAAUAUAUUAUGAAAUUAGUAUAUAUAUCUUGACCAUAAAUAAAAAAAUAAUUAACGCACAUGUGCAAAGAUUAUUCGAAGUUUGGUAUUAUGGGGUCAGGAAGAAGAUUUAAAUAAAAAAGUUAAUGAGGUUGAGAAAAAAAGGAGUCUUUGGGCACGCGUUGGAUCAAUUUAAUUGGAUUUACGUGGGUCAUAAUUGAAUUCGGGUAUCUUAUCACUUUUGAAAUUUUGUUUAUAACUAUAUUUUGUGAACUUGUAUCAUGUAAGAUGGUUGUAUAUUAGAAGUGAGAUACCUUUCGAAGGAAAUAACUUUAACUAUAAGUGUCCGUUUUUAGUGUAUAAUAUGUCGUUUCGAAACUUACGAUAAGAUGAGUUUAACUUGACCUGCUUGUGCUGUUCUAUCAUGUGGUCAAACAAAAAAUUCUAUUUCUUUCCUGGUCAUUUUUUAGUUUUAACAUUUUUUUCCUAUUUUUCCUAAUUCUUCUAGGAUUUUUAUCAUUUUUUUUCCAAAACUCGGAUUUGAGUGCUAUUUGUUUUCCUUUCUUUUUUUGAUUAGGAGAAAUUUAUUAUAAAAUAAUAUUUUAAAUUUGCCUAUUUUGGCAAAUUCACAAUACUUAGGGCUAUUAUAUAAAGGGGUCUAAAACCUUAGUUUUGUACUAUUCAGAAUUAUUCAAUAAACUUCUAUAUUCAGAAACUUUGUUUCAACUAUCUUUAACUCUUGUACACUUCUAUUUUGUCCACUGGUAUUAGAGCAAGUGAGCAAGUUCGCUUGUCAUCAUGAUAUGACCAUACGAACAAAGAAGUAAUCGUCCGAAAGAUGAUGAUUAAGGGAUGUAAGCACAAACUAUGGAGGCUAUCAAAUAGGCAGCCCUAGAAGCAGUCUUGCAAGCAAUGAAAGAUGUCUAUAGCCUAAGAUGGUGGCGAUAGAGUGGGUAUCGAGAGUCUUAGGCUUUUUAUGGAUGAAAAUCGAGAGAGACGUCAAUAGUAGAGAGCGAAUCGCAAAGAAGAAAUUCAGGGUGUCAAUUGUGGUGAAUAACCUGAAGAUUUUAACCACACAGAGAUACCUCAAGGGAUCAAUCAUGAAAUAGAAUCUCAAAGCAUCAAUCGCGAAGCAGUGCCUUAAAAUUUAGGCACUGUGCAACGAAUGCCAUUGUGCACACGUGAAGAGUUAGGAAGUGAUUCUAAAGAAAAACAAUAUGUGAAAAGAGAUAGGAGGCAUGGAAAGAGUUCAAAUUAUAAUAUUAAAGUUGAUAUUCUAAAUUUUUAUGGUAGCAUGCAUGUUGAAGAAUUUUUGGACUAGAUAUUGACAGUGGAUAAUUUAUUCGAGUAUAUGGAUAUUCCUCAAGAGAAGUGGGUUAGACAUAUGGCAUUUAAUUUGAAGGGCAUGGCUUCUGCAUGGUGGCAACACGUAGAAUCGAAGAAGAGUUAUAGGAAAGAAAUUCAUCAAGUCGUGGCCUAGAAUGUAGAGGAUGAUGAAAGAGUACUUCCUACUCGCAGAUUACCAGCAGCAACUGUAUUUCAAAUAUCAGAACCAUAGGUAAUUAAAUCUUAAUAUGGAUGAAUAUAUGGUAGAGUUUUACCAUCUAGACACAAGAAAUAAUAUGGAUAAACCUAAAUUUCGGACAGUUAAGAAAUAAUAUGGACGAAAUAAUAGAUACAAUUUAGGAUUUGGGCUCUGCAGUCGCUAGGGCUAAGAAAUUGUAAGAACGAAGACAGCGAACUAUUUCUAGAACUCGUUAGUAGCAAUUCACUAGUUUGCAGAAUAGAACAAGUGGUCUUGGGGUCGAAAACAAGUAAAAAAUAGUGGUUGAAAGUAGAACUGGCAAAAUUUGACAUAACAUGAUUACCCGACACGAACACGACACGAAUAAAUAGGUAUGGAUUGUUGAAUUUAACACGAUUAUUUAAUGGGUUGGGUGAGGGUUGACACUAUUUUUUUCUGUGUCGGGUUAGGGUUAAAAUUUUUGACCCAUUUACCUGAUUAAUAACCCAAUUAUAUUUUCUAUUUUAAAAUAAUUUGUAGGUUAUUGUUAUCAAAAUUCAAAUAUUAAAGAUGAUUCUCUCUUUUCUUUUUCUUUUUUUUGAAAAGAUGAAUAUAAACACAAUAUUUUAUUUAUAAAAUUUUAUAUACAUUUAGAGUUUCAAUAAUGUAAAUGUGUAAAAUAUUGUUAGACAUGUAUAUAUAUAUAUAUAAUUAAAACUUUAAUAGUGUAAAUAUAUAAUAUUUUGGUAGAUAAGUACAUUUUAUAAUAUCAAUAAAUUAUGUAUGUAUUUAUGUAUGUACGAGAGUGUGUAAAUGUUUGAUGUAAAUUUUGUUUAAUAUAUAGAUAUUAAGUGGGUUAAUGGGUAACCCAAUUAUUUUUUCGUGUCGGGUUUGGGUCUCAAUAUUUUGACACGACUAUUAAAUGGGUCGGGUUUGGGUCGACCUAAAUUUGACAUGACAUGAAGCUGACACGACACAAACACAACUCGAUGACCUAUUUUGCCAGCUCUAGUUGAAAGUAGUCAGACGCAACAAUUGCCACAUCAGUAACUAAGGCAACAACCACUUAAGCAACAACAACCACCUAGUUAGCAAUAGAAUAACCUAUAUGCCAAGCUUAUGCUGAACAAGCGUUUGAAGUGUGAAGAACCAAGCCAUUGAUCGAGUGACUGUUGUUAAAAGAAUUUGAAUUUAGCAGAGGCAGAUGUUGUUGAGGAUGAGGAUGAUGAAAAAGCUUUUGAGUUAGAGGCAGAAGAAGGCGAGAAUCUGAAUUGUAUUGCUCAGAAAAUUUUAUAUACACCAAAACAUAACGAGGAUAGUCAGCACACCAAGAUUUUCAGAACCCGUGACCCCAUCAAUGAUAAAGUAUGCAAUGUGAUAAUUUAAUAGUGGUAGCAAUAAGAACAUAAUAUCAAAAGCGCUAGUCGAUGUGAUGGGGCUUUCAACAGAAAAAUAUCAUGCACCUUAUAGAAUAAAGUAGAUAGAGAAAGGGUACAAACGCGAGUAACAGAAGUAUGCCGUGCUUCUUUCUCCAUUUGGAAGAUUUAUAAGAGUGAUGUAGUGGAUAUGGAAAUGUGCCAUCUGUUAUUAAGCAUACGAUGGCAAUUUGAUGUUGAUGCAGUCUAUAGAGGAAUGGAUCUUUUGUAUGAAUUUUGGUGGAAUAGUAAGAACGUUCGAUUGAUGUCUUUAACGAACAAAAAUAAGAAUUCUAAGGCUAAAGGAAAGAACUUUCUGGCUACUGUCAAGAGCCAUUUAGAGGGUGAUUGUGAUGGUUGCAAGAAGCUGCGGAAGGAAUGUGUGAUCGAGGUGAAGACUAUUCCUGAAGAGCUGCAGUCAUUAUUAAUUGAGUUUGCUAAUAUUACACCACCAGAGAUGUUAGAUGGGCUAUUGUUAUUGCGAGAUAUGUGGUAUCAUAUAGAUCUAUUUCUUGGUGCGAGCUUACCUAACUUGCCCCACUAUCGUACGAGUCCUCACGAGCAUGUGAUUUUGCAAGGAUAUGUUGAUGAGUUGUUACGAAAGAGGCUCAUUCAUGAGAGCAUGAGUCCAUGUGUUGUAGCAUCUUUAUUGGUGCCAAAAAAGGAUGAGAGUUGGUGUAUGUGUGUGGACAUCAGGCAGAUUAAUCAGAUCAUAGUGAAGUAUCAUUUUUCUAUUCUAACGUUUCGAGAUUCACUAUAUCAGUUAGAUGGUGCUCGAGUUUUCUCAAAGAUCGACUUGUGCAAUAGGUAUCAUUACAUUCAAAUUAGGCAUGGAGAUGAGUGGAAGACAGUGUCUAAGAUGAAUUAAGGGUUGUAUGAAUGGUUAAUGAUGCCAUUCAAGUCACCAGGUACUUUCAUUUGCUUGAUGAAUCAUAUUUUUAAGCCUUUUUCCUGCAAAUUUCUUGUGGUGUAUUUUGAUGAUAUCUUGGUUUAUUCCAUUGAUAUGAUAACGCAUUUGAAGCAUUUAAGAGUGGUUAUAGAGGUGUUGUGGAGAAAUAAACUUUACAUUAAUCUAAAAAAGUGUAUAUUUCUAUAAAGUAAUAUAGAGUUUUUGGAUUUUAUAGUUGGUGUGGGUGGAAUUAGAACUAUUGAGUCAAUGAUACAAGCCAUUAAAGAAUGGCCUAUGAACAAGAUUGUGGAUGAAAUUAGGAGCUUUCAUGGGCUGGUGACGUUUUAUAAGAGAUGUAUUCGUGGUUUUAGCACUAUAGCCGCAUCUGUUAUAGAAUGUUUGAAGAAAAGAAGUUUAAGUAGCGAGAAAAGCAAGAAGCAAGUUUUGCUUUAUUAAAGGAAAAGUUGUCCACUACACAUGUGUUAGCAUUGCCAAACUUGGACAAGUUGUUUGGGGUCUAGUAUGAUGCUUUUGGUAUGGGAAUUGACGUUGUUCUUUCCUAAGAAGAGCGACCAAUUGAGCAUAUGAGUGAGAAGCUAAACGAAGCAUGGUAGAAAAGUCGACUCAUGACUAAGAGUUUUACGCCAUUCUUAGGAUGUUGAAGUCGUGGGAAUAUAACUUGAUUCAGAAAGAGUUUAUGCUUUAUUGUGAUAAUUAAGCCUUGAAGUACUUUAACAGCCAGCAAAACUUAAGCAAGAUGCAUGCGAUAUGGGUAAGCUAUAUUUAGAAGUUCACAUGUGUCGUGAAGCAUAAGUCUAUGCAGCAGAAUAAGGUGGCAUAUGCACUCAGCAGGCAAGCAAAUUUACUAGUAACUCUGGUAAAUGAAAUUGCUAGUUUUCAGUGCUCAAAGGAGUUUUACGCUGAAGAUGAACAUUUUGCAUUUAUUUGGGAUCACUGCUUCAACCAUCAGAAUAUGAAGGAUUUUCUAAUUCAAGAUGGAUACCUAUUCAAUGCUAAUUAGUUAUGUGUAUUUCAAAGCUCUUUAAAAGAGCAUAUUAUCCGUGAGUUGCAUGGUCGAGGACUGGGCAGACAUAUUGGACAAGACAAGACCAAGGCACUUAUGGAGGAGCAUUAUUAUUGGCUACAGUUGAAUAGAGAUGUGCGAAGGAUUGUGCAGAGAUGUCAGUAUGCCAAGAAGGCAAGGGACAUGCGCAGAAUACAAGUUUAUACAUGGCAUUACUUGUUUUAGAAAAUAUUUGGUUAGAUUUGUCCAUGGAUCUUGUCUUAAGAUUGCUACGGACAAGGACAAGUCUAGAUUCUAUAUUGGUGAUGGUGGAUAGGUUUUCGAAAAUAGCGCAUUUUAUUACUUGUAAGAAGACUAAAAAUGCCGCUUCAGUUGCACAUUUUUUCUUUCGCAAGGUGGUCUGUUUGCAUUGUAUUCAAAAGACUAUCACUUUUGACAGAGAUGUGAUAUUCGUCAGUAGGUUUUGGCAUCAUCUUUGGGAUAAGUUUGGCAUAAAGUUGUAGUUUAGUAGUGCUUUUCAUUCGUAGAUUGAAAAAAAAUGGUCAAUCGCACUUAAGAUAAUAUGUUAUCAUGUGUUUGUGGUGACAAGCACCAGAACUGUGAAACCACUUUGCCUCAGGUUGAGUUUGCUUACAACAAUAAGGUUAAUCGAUCUAUUGGCAAGACCUCUUCUAAGAUUGUCUACAUUUGUUCCCUACGCUAUGUUUGUGAUCUGGCUAUCAUGCCUACGUGGCCGGAGGAAGAAAAGUAGCAGAUAAUGUGGCAAAAAAGGCUUUUUAGAUUGAUGCCAAGGUUCGAGCUCACUUGGAGGCUGCCAAUGCUACAUACAAGGCUGAGGCAGACAAGCACCAACAUAAGAAGUUGUUUUAGGAGGGUGAUUUGGGGAUGGUGCAUUUGCAGUGUAGUCGAUUUCUUGGUAUUCAUGCCAAGUUGGAAAAGCAGAAGUACGGUCCAUUAUUUCAUAUGUCACAGAAGAUUAAUGAUAAUGCUUAGGUGCUUCAAUUGCUAAACAAUUGGAAUAUCUCGCACACUUUCAACGUGGCUGAUCUAUUCGCGUAUCAUCCGGAUGAUGAGGAGUUGUAUGAGCCUAACUCGAGAAUGAGUUCUUUUUCAAAGGAGGGGGACAUAUGUAGGAUGGUUGUAUAUAACAAGUGGGAUACAUUCUGGAGAGCAUAACUUGGGACAGGUGUCUGUUUUCAGUGUAUAGCAUAGCAUUUCAAAGCUUGUGACAAGACAAAUCCAACCCAAAGCCGCUUGCGCCACUCUUUCCCGUGGUUGAACCAAAAAUUCAUUUUUUUAGUCAUUUUUUAGUUUUAAAAUUUUUUUCCUAUUUUUCUUGAUUCUUCUAGAAUUUUAUUUUUUUAGAACUCGAAUAUGAGUGCCGUUUAUUCAUGUUUUGAUUAGGAGAAUUUUAUUAUAAAAUAAUAUUUCGAAUUUAUUUUAUAGUUUACGAAAGUGGAUUUUGCAACAUACGUAGAAGCUUAUGGUGAAGUCUUCAAAUACAUCAAUUCAAGAAUAAAUAAACACAAGUAAACGGAGAAGUCCCUUAUCAUACUCUUAAACAAACUUGUAUUAAUCAUUUAAAUAGCUGCUGCUGUUUGUUUUCUGUUUAGUUUAAUUAGUUGCUGUUUUUUGCUCUAUUAAUUUCAACCAAUUUUUGGCCCUUGGUUUGAACGUAAUUGUUUGUAUAAAGAAUUUGUAUUACCAAUUUCAGGAUAUUAAUUUGUUAAAAUUCCUAUACGCUCUCUCAAAAAAAAAAAAUGUCAAAGCAUUCCAUUCAAAUUAAAAAAAUAAUAUAUUCAUAGCUUUGAACUUCCAAGUUGAAUACCACCUAAAAAAGUUAAGUACUAACAUUAAUCUUGACAUUUUCUAUCAAUCUGAAAAGAAAGAAAUAAAAAAAAUAAUCUUCAACCGAUGUACGUAAGCAUACAAUUUCCAGGAAAAUAAGAGAUUAUUUUUAAAUUUUAAAGUCAGAAGAAAAAUUUCAUAGAAUAUGACUAUAAAUAUAGACCUCGUUGCUUUUGAUUCAGCAUAAUUAGUCUCUUGAAUCUGAUCAUUCAUAUCAGAAGUCGUCUUAAUUAGCAUUUACGAAAACCAGGAGGGAAAAAAAAAAAAAAAAACAUUUCGAAGAAUGGCAUCAAGGAUUUCCUUUGUGCUGGGAACCGUCUUGAUUUUAAUCUGCGGGCUUCUUUUUCUUCAAGCAACAGCUGAAGAUAACAAUACUUUCAUGUAAGUUCAUGCUAGAUAGUUUUAAUCAUCUUUUAUCACGCAUAAACGAUAUUUUUUAUCAUCAAUGUUUUUACAAGAUUUUUUUUUUUUUAAAUUAAAGGACUGCAGGUAAAUUUCAAGAAUUAACACGUGAGACUAACAUGGGGUUGUGCGAUACUUUAAACUCAAUGAUUUUUUACGAGACUAUGAAUUUUGGCUGUCGCGGUCAAUGUUUUGUUCGUCUCCGAUGCUCCUUUCAUGAAAUUGAUCUCACUAUCUCGUAAAAUAUCAAAAGUUGGACUUUGACUAUAUAAAAAUAAGUGCAAAAUUUAAAAAAUCAACACACGGUAUCGUGCCAAACCACCUAUUUUAAAUUAUAAGAAAAAAAGGUUUGUGUGUUCAUAUUUUGGAAAAUUUCAUCAUGGUAAAAUUUGGGUGUUUUGGUUGUAAAAUUUGAAAAAGUAAAUAUCCGCAAUCCAUAAAUGCUGUUAAUAUUUAUCAUCGGCUAUAUAUAACAUAAAAGCUAACAUAUUUUACGUUUGUCUCUUUCCAAUUUGUAGAGAAAGCAGGAGAGAACUUCUACCGGCUAUUCAGCUUCUGAAUUUAUUUAAGAACUUGAAAUAUAUUUUCCAAAUAUUUGAUUAUUAUGGUAAAGUCCAAAGCGCUACUGACUUUGCGAAUUGGAUAAAAUCUGAAGCUGAAGGUUAUGUUGAUCAACAAUGUCAAAACUCUACUACUCGGCAAAAUUACUGCUGCCUAAACGACCUGUUUCUUCAAUGCGAGAAAUGUUGUUCCGGGCUACGUCCAAAUUCAUCUUCAUUGGAAUUUUCAUCGGCACCGGCACCGGCACCGGCACCGGCGCCGUUGCCAUAGUCAUCUUGUCCAUAUUGUGGAAGAGGCUUCUAUAAAUACUGUACAGAGUGUUAUAUAUAAUAGGAAAAUAAGGGUCUUGCUACAAUACAUGCAUGUAUCACAUACAUGCAAAGAAACAGAAUCACAUUCCUGAAUAUCAUUCCAAACGAAUUUCAAUAUCAAUCAAUCAUUUUCCUUUCCUUUGUUUCCUUGAUAUAAAAAUGAUUUAUUUGAAAGCUUUAACAUAAAACGAGUAAACUAGUUGAGAGGAUACUGAGUUCGGCUAUAUUAACAAUUCAAAACUAAUUCCAUUAAAAAACCAGUGUUAGCACUUUAAAUCUAUCACAUCUAAUGCACUUAAUAUUCAUAAAGAAGUAAAUCAUUCACAAUACUUAAGCAAAGCGUUAUGAUUUCAACUAGUUUUACGAAAUAAAUAUAACCAGAAUAUCAAAUUAUAACUAGAAAGAGACCUGACGAAGGCCACCACCGAGCUCGAUGGUCUGGUUUGUCAUGCUACAUAGGUCAAGCACCACAUCACCUGGAACCUAAAAUAGUGAAAAUAGCUAAAAAUAAUUAAUUUUUUUAUAAAUAAGUUCGCGCAAAAAAAAAGAACAGAAGAAACACAGGAUGAAAAUACAAACCACUAUCUUAUCAACGAAGUUCGCUGUUGGCUCGUCUUCAUGAAAAUCCCAAAGGGCUUGAAUGGUAUUUUCGCAACAACUUCCCCUCUUAGAUGCCAACCACGACGAACGGAACGAGGGCGACAAUGGCGCCGGAUUUGAACUUGAACAACGACAUAUCGCGGCUGAAUUCUUUAAGGCUGGUCUCGACACGGUCAAUCUUUUUGGUCUUGGACUUUUUGGCGGAGAUUUUAGCUGGGUUUUCGAUUUUCAUAGUCUCGAGUUCUUGAAGGCUUUGUCGAUUGAGAAUUUGAGGGAUUUGUAAGAGUUGGUUCGCUAAAUGAGAAGCCAUGAGAUUGAUUCGCAAAUGAUGACGUGCUUGUGCCGCCGUUGAUGGCUAUGGAACAAGACGAGGAGAGGUGAGGUGAGAGAGUCGUGAUGCGUGCGUGCGGCGAGGGUUUUUAAUCUAAAAUCAUUUUUUUUUUUCAUUUAUAUAUUUUUAACCUAAACCAAAAGCAUGACCGGUUUCACAAGUUUCCAAUUCUCUUAAAUUUUUUAUUAUUUAAUAAUGAAACGAAUGUCAGCCGUUGGAUUCACUCCAUUUAAUCCAAUGGUGAUUUUUAAUCCAUGUAUCGCAUACAUGCAGGUACUAUAGAUGGCCCCAUUCUACUCACAGGAGUGAGGAAGGAAUUUAACAGCCAGUCGUGAGAAAUUUUAUCAAUAUACUGCCCAUAUUGUAUAUUAACUACUGUAAUAAUUAUUGUGGAUAUUGAAUAAAUAAGCAUUGGGGUGCACUUUUUGUAAGAGGUAUUGAUACUCAUUGUCGAACAAGCAUGUAGCCAGGGUAAGCCAGAGCCUUAAUUUUUGGCUCCAACGUAUGAUACUUGGCUAGAAGUCAUAUUUUCUUAAGUUGUUUUUGGUUGCAAAUGGGUUGGUUUAAGGUUUGAACUCCAAAGACAUUAGAAGUAUGUAUAAUUUGCAUAUGAAAAAGGCAACAAAAGUAUGAAGUGCAAAUAUACUUACAUUAUGAGCCCAAAACAAGUCAAUGAAAUUAUUCCAUUAGAUAUGCCUUGUUCUUGCCUAAUUGUUCAAAACUUAUCUCAUUAAAAGGCUUAGUGAAAAUGUCCACCAAAUGUUUUACCUUGCUAAAAAUAAAUUCUAAUUAGAUAUCUCCUUUUCAUGAUACCCUUGUAGAAAAUGAUGGCUAAUUUCAAUUAGGGGUGCGCAAGAUCGGGUUCGGAUCAACCCGAUCGGAUUUUGGGUUAAUCGGGUUGGAGAGAAAUUCAUCUUAAUUCAACCCGAAUUUUAGAUUGGAUCGGAUCAGAUUGUAUUCAAAUCGGAUUGAAAAUUUGGGUCUAGUUCGGGUCAAGGACAAUUUUGAGUCAUUUUUGUUAAUUUUAGGGUUGUUUUAUAAUUAUUUAAUUAUUACAUGAUUACUUUUACGAAAUUACUUCAUUUUAGUUCGUUUCCCCUUGCCAGUGAUUGUCAUAAAAAAAUAUAAAUUGAAAUAUGAAUUGAAAAAUUUACAAGCUUGGAGAACUUGGUGAAUCUCAGUCUUGAUCUCGUUGGAACAACCGUCGAUGGCUUCGUGUAGAUCAAGCGGUGGCCAAUGGAUCAAGCGGCAGUGGGUUUUGUUGAUGGCUUCACCAGUUUCGUCGAUGAUUGCCGGAAGAGCAGAUUCGAUCAAAGUAAAGUGGAGCAACCGUCGAUGGAGCAGCCAGCAAAUCCUGUCGUCGGUGCAGCAGAUCUGGUUGAAGUGGUGUGUUGCUGCUGGCCUGCUGCCAUGAUGACUUGCUAUUGUUGCUUGUUAGUUGUUUGUGUGAGUUGUGAGAAAGAAGAGAAGGAAGAGAGUGAAUAGCGAAGUAUGACUCUAAACUUCAUUUUUGUAAUUUAUUUUUGUCCUCUUUUUUUUUUGAAGUGGAGCUGUGGUGUUUGCUUGGAACACAGAGAGUGAGGUGUGACUGUGUGAGCCAUGUUGUUCAUAAGUUUUUCUUUUCAGUGACCAACUGGAUCGGAUUUUCGAAUCAGAUCGGAUUAAACCCGAUCCGAUCACAAUCCGAUCAGAUUGGUCAUAUACCAUCCAAUCGGAUUUGACAAGCAAUCCGAUCCAACCCUAACUCGAUUUUUUUCAGAUUGGAUUGAGUCGGAUCGGGUCGGGUCAGGUUGUUUGCCCCACCCUAAUUUUAAUAGACAAAUUAAUGGAAGUAAUUAAUAUUUUAACAUGAAAUAGGUAUUUCUCGAAAGUUUACUGCAAAGAAUCUAGGGUUUGUUUCUUCACUAUGGCUUGAGCAUAACAACUACCCAAUACAAUAUAUUUAACUUAUUCAAAACCCACAUAAUCUAAAAAAAAGAUGGAAAACAGUAAAAUGUUGUUUUUUGACUUUUGUUAUAAUUUUAAGAAAAUUGAUUUUUGUCUUUGAAAUAAAAAAGCAGAUAUUGAAAAUGUUACCAAAUGCACCCUAAAUAGUAUGAGAGAACCUCACAAGGAAUUUCUUACAUGCAAAAAAAAAAAAAAAAACAUUUCAUAAUGUGAUCAUGAAGGAUUUCAUGAUUUUAUGGGAUUGGAAACCAUAGAACUAAAAUAAAAUAAACUAAAAAGGGAAAAAAGGAAAGAAAAGAGAGAGAGAAUGAAAUCAAUUUGGAAUUAGUCCCCAAAUGCAUUAAAGUACUCUAAUUUCUCAUAAAUUAAGUAAAAUAUAAACUAACUAGCAUACAUGAUAAUCCAAUUAAUUUACUAACAAACUUAAUGAAUCAUAUGUGAUUUUAACUUAUAGGACUUUAAAAAGAGAGCAUGGGAGGGAAAAUGGUCCAAAAUAAUAAUAUUUAAAAGGGAGUAAAAAUGAAAAAAAGAAGAACAAGAACAAAAACAUGUUGCAAUAAAGAAGGUAUUGGUGGUAAAAUAUGGACUAAAGGUAUUGAAGGAAUGACACAUGGGGAGUAUGACUCAGCACCAUGACAAAGGGUAAAGAGGAAGCUGAAAAGGGAGGAUGAAAGGGAAUACCUUGAAAAAAAAAAAGGAAGAUCUCACAUAGGGAACGAGGCUCAAGAUUGCAAUAAAGAAUGAAGGAGAAGUUGAGAAAGGGGAGGUAGAAACUGAACGCUGACAAUAGAAAGAUGAAAAGAAGAAGGUGAGAUGGGAAAAUCUCAAGAAGUUGGCAUCAACCACACGAGUCAUAAGAGAAUAAUAGAAUAUACCUCCUAUGGUACAUCCGUGAAACCACAUAGUAGUACGGUACCCACUUAGACUACCUCCUAAAUAUCACCCAACAAACCGCUCAAAUUAGAGGUAAGGAAGGGGGACUACAGGCAAGCCACCAACAUUCUCUCCAUAAAAACCAGAUGCUCCUCCACCUAAUUAGCUAAUUCGAAAUAAACCAAUUAGAGUUAAAGACACCUUGCCAAACACAUACUAUCCCUACGCUAGCAGCUGUCCAACCUCAGCAAACUUAAUAGCCUCCACAAAUGAAGCCAAAUUACCUAAAAACCCUACCUAAAGAGGGAAAACAACAAUGACAGCCCGCCACUUGUCCACAAGAACAUAAAGAUGCCUUCAAGGGCACUCUUCUUAAAAAGGUCAGGUUGGUCUCACAUGAGGUAAGCGACUCAUUCACACUAAAAGCACUCAACUUUCUUCUUACUCUAGGGUUUCCCUGCAACCUUUCACUACAUCCUAUCUCUCAUUGAAUUGAUCGUCGAAGUGCCACCGACAUCACCUUUAACAGUCGUUUCUUGUGAUUUCAGGGCAUUCCCAACUAACACGACUCAAAAGUGUUAUUACUCACAAGUAUAAGAGUGUCUAGUUAUAAUAUAACCCGGUGAGUCCGGGGUCGAACCACAGGAAAUUUAAAAUCUAGUAGUCAAUUUAAAACAAAGAAAAUUAAUUGCGGGGCAAAGAAAUUAUUUGAAAUUGAUUUAAAAAUAAACUAAGGUUACGGGAUACACUCUCAGUAUUCAAACUAUAAUUUUAAUACUCUCUCAUUUUUAGCCUUACUUUUACCAGUUAAUUAUUAUAUCAUUUGAUUCUCAACUAACUAUGUGUGUGGAUAAAUAUGAAAUAAAGUACCUAAUUUGCCACAAUUAAUGUGUCGAUAUUAUGUCAAAAUACCAUAAAAUCCAGUGAGAUUUAUAAAUUAAUAUGAUAUAAAAAUAAAUAGAAAAUAAUAAAAUAAACUUAAAAACUCAUUUGAGAAAAUAAUAAAUUUAAUAGUUUGAAACAUUGAGCUUCACCCUUCACCUCAGCUUAAUAAAAUUAACCACUCAUAUUGAAAGAAAACACAACACUCUUUUUAUUUGAUAAACUUUUGGAAAUAUAUUACAAAGAAAAUUGAUACAGACGGAAACAAGAAAAGAAAGAAAUAAAUAAAGAAAUUCUUCAGCUACACCCUUGGCUAUUCUCUCUCAGAAAUCGGCUCCCUAGCUUUUGCCUUUUUUGCUACCAUUACGAGAAACCAAAUUAUUUUGGUUUUUGUUCUUUUGUAUUUUUUUUAUUCAUUUUCAUUUUAUUUAUUUAUUGUUUAUUUACAUAUCCUCAAUGAUGCUUACAAAUUACUCCAGCAGUCCUUCUUUGUUCCCGCUUUCAAUUCUAAUUUAUUCCUGAAAAAUAUUUAAAAAAUAAAAAUUAACAUAUUACGAAUUAAUUUAACACAAAAAUUUAUUUGAGGAGUAUUAAGAUAAUUUAGAAAUAAUGAGCGCAUUAAUCUACACAAUAAGUGUAAAACUAAUAAUUUUAUCUUUAUUACACGUACAUUUUUUAGUGUUAAUCACCAACCAUCACUGUCCUCACACUACAAGAAAACAUGCAAUAGAUGACAGGAAAUAACCGUCAUAAAGAGGGGUGCAUGACAGACAAAAUAUAUGCCAUCUAUGUCACUGUCAUUAAUUUAUGACAGACUUUUUCCCGCCAUGAGUUUAUGAUAGCUGUUAAAAGUCAUACAUGCGUCACAUUACAUUUUAGUGGGAAAUCAAAAUUAUUUAAAUAUUUAGGAAUUUUUUGGCGGGAAAAUUAGUAUUAUUUCUAUUAAAUUAUUUAAAAUUUUAUUAAUAUUGUAAAUUUUAUUAUUAUUUUUACUGAAUUAAUAUUUUAUUUAUUUAUUAUUAUUAUUUUACAAAUUCUAUAAAUUUGUUUUUAUAAAUAAAAUUUGUCAAUAUAAAAUAAAUACAUAAUAUAAUACUAGUAAUUAAAAAUCCAAUAAAUAACAUACAUGAAAUUUUAUAUAUAUUCAAACUACAGUUAAAUACUAACUAUGUUAUUGAAGCAUCUAAACUACAUCAAUCCCAAAUUUUCAAAAGAUAUCCUAAAAUAAAUAUUCACCAACAUCAAAAUACUUGUACAAAAAAUCAAAGUCCACCAAAUUCCAGUGGUAAAUCACUUGUAGAGUCUAAGUAGUAAGAGGUCAGCAAUUCUUCUCAGUUCCUUUAAUCACCACCAUUAUUUUUAUUUGCCAUUCAGAUUGCUAUUGUUGCCUCUCCAUUCGCUUAGCGUGCCCUUAAUUGUAGUAUCUACAAAUCCCUUAUAUGCAGCCCUGGAUUAUAGCAACAUGUAGAAAACAAUGUUUAACAAGCAUUUUACUAUUCUCUAAGGGGGCAAAAAAAAAAACAUUUUACUAUUUUCUAAUCAAAGAACCUAUGGCAAGUAUAAUAGAUUUAAAAACUAAGAAUUAACAUAAACAUCUUUCGCUAGUACUCACAUAAAUAUUUAUAUAACCUUAAGCAUCCAAGAACCAAAAGCAAUUUACAUGCUGCACUUAUCAAAUGUACAAUAGAAUAGAGAAAAUGAGAAGAAUUGCAAGCAUAACAAAAAAGGAAAAAGUACAAAAGUGAAGAUUUUAGUGAGAGAAAGAAUUGUCCUCGGUGUAGUUUACUUCCUUAUAAGCCAAUACACAACAUUAAAGGAAACUCAUACUUGGAUGUCAUAAUAAAGACAAAAAUCAACUAAAAAGCUAUUUGUAUUACAGAUUUUGUUGGAUAAUAAGGAUAUAAGGUUGAUAACAAAUUUAGGACUCUAAUGGAAAAGAAACUAUUAUCAAAUUCUCUAAUUUUCCUCUACAGAAAAGGGGCAUAACAUGACUGGUCCAUUUACAAUUCCAAUCAUAUUAAUAGAUUUUAUUUACCAACUAUCUUUGUGAGUUAAAAUAGUCUACAAAACACCAUUAAAAAUACCUAGAAAGGAAUUAAAAAUUUUGAAACUAACACCAUACCUGCAGUCAAGAGCCUUGCAUUUAUAUUCCUUACAAAAGUAAUACAAGUAUGGAGUUAUUUGCACAAAGCAAACCUGUGCAAUGGUAAACCUCAUAAGCCUGAGAAAUGGGUAUAUCACUACAACAUCAAGAAUAGAUCUAGUUUCUAUGCAUUAAAGUUUCUCACCAAACAGAGACAUAACAUGGAAGAUUGCAUCUCAUCUGAAUCAUAAUCAAAUAGUACAAUAUACAAUUUGAAAAUAGAAAUGAGAAAAUCAUGUUGAAGGAGACAAGUUUUAUUUUCAUACUCUAAAUCACCUUAGAAUUGCAAGAGCCCUACUGUAACUUUCCUAAGAAGCCCAAAAUGGAACACCCAAUUAAUUCUUUAAUUAAUAAUCUAUAAUAACCAUAUAAGCUAACAAAAAUUCUACACAUACAUGACUGCUAAAGGACUUUAUAUAAAAAUUAAAGUUAAAAAUGUCACACCAACAGUUUAUGCAGGGCUUCACAAAAAUGAGUUCUAGACCUUCCCCAAAAAAUUGUCAUUUUUCCUUAAAUGGUUUGCCUAAGAUCACGAACCCAAGGCUACAAUUUGACAACAGAGAAUUAAGUUUUCAAUUCAAAGCAUCCAAAAUAUAAACUAACAAAAUUAUAG
rnacentral:lncRNA from 1 species